AAGGCGAGCCUGGCGGUGCUGGACGCGGAGCUCCGCGGCCGCGGGACGAGGUUCUUCGGCGGCGACGACCUCGGCUUCGUCGACCUCGCCGCCUGCACGCUGGCGCACUGGCUCGGCGUGCUGGAGGAGGUGGCCGGGGUGCGCCUCGUGGCGGAGGGAGAGUACCCGUCUCUGCGGCGGUGGGCCGACGAGUACACCUCCCACGAGGUCGUCAGGCGGUCCCUGCCGGACAGGGACCAGCUCGUCGCCUUCUUCGCCGCCAACAAGGAGAGGUACAGGUCCAUGGUCGACGCAGCGGUGCACUAGGCAGCUGCACCUCCACAGUCCACAUCACUGCGCGAUCGUGCUAAUUAAAUAAUGUACUUUUGGAUGCAUUGUAAAAAAAAGUACUUUUGGAUCAUUUUGUAAACUUUAUACCACACCUGUCUUGCUUAGUUCACGUAAAUUUUUAAAUUUAGCUAUAGCAUUUUCAUUUUAUUUGAUAAAAAAUUAUUUAGUAAAUUACAUAUAAAUUAUGUAAUUAGUUAUUUUUAUCUUUAUUUAAUAUUCUAUAUAUGUGUCUAAAGAUUUGAUGUGAUGAAACUAAAAGAAUUUUUUUAGAAACUAGACAAGGCCUAAAAGAAAAAUACAACACUUUUGACCAUAUAUAAAUUAUUUACAUUAUUUGGCACCGUGUGUGCAUUUUCCAUAACUCUGCACAUGUUUUCAAAUUUCUCAUUGUCGAAUGUUCUCAAUCUUUUGUAUUCCGUAGGUUCAUCCUAUUGUCAUUUGUUGCUAUUGAGGUAGUCAGGUCUUGUUUUUUCUCAAAAACUUAAAAAAAAUUAAUAUUUUCUGUCAUAUCGAAUCUUACAAUAUAAACCUUUAAAAACAAGAUUUGGGUAAAAAUAUAAAUCUUGCAACAUAAAACUAUAAAAUUCAGCCACCCAACUAAACAAGGCCCAAGAUAAUUGGACCUAGCUAGCUGGUGUCGAUCAUACUCAUGCGAUGCAAUUCGAAAACUCGAUAUAUCGAUGACAAGAGCACUUUAGGAUGUGAAUGCUUCGGCGUCUAUCGUCCAAUGUGGACUUUAAUUAUUUGAUCUUCUUGAAAUUUAUCUACGAUACAUAUACCUCGUUGGCAUUGGCUUGCUAGAUUAUGUUGGCCCAGAAAUGAAAUGCAACUUUAUUAUUUUAUUUCACACAAUUACUAGGUUUUCAAAAUUCACUCAAAAUCCAUUAGCAACCCAUGACAUAACCAUCAAAAUGCCACAAUAUUUUUGAAGGAACAUUUAGGCUUUGUUCGGUUGUCUUAUAAGUCAUACUUAUUUUUAAUAUAUAUUUAAUUUUUUAUUUACACGUAUAAAGAUUCUGACGAAAAAUUUAAAAAAAUGCUAGAAAAAACAAGGCAAGCCAGAGUGGUCAAAUCAGAUUUAACCCUUCCGACCUGCAAAACACUAUUUGCAUCUUUGUCGUGUAGGCCUUAAACUUUAGUGUAUCGGAUAUUUUGAUUAAGGCUUUGUUUAGUCUAAAAAGUAUUUAAUUUUUUAAAAAAUUCUUCAUCACAUUAAAUCUUAUGACGCAUGAAUGAAACACUAAAUAUAGAUAAAAAUAAAAAUUAUUUAUAAUUUACGAAAGAAAUCUUUUAAACUUUAAUUUAUUAUUAAAUAAUAUUUAUGAAAUAUAAACGAAAAUACUAAAGUAUCGAAAACUAAAAAAAAUUGUUAAGAACCAGGCCUAAGGCCAGUCGCAAUACAUGUUUCAUGAGAGUGUCAUACACAUUAAAUAGGGUACCACAUAAACAAAAUUACUGACUUGGCAGGGUCAUUAAAUAAAGAAGUUUCAUUAGAUGAGAGAGGAGUUUCAUCCCCAUGAAACUCCUCUGGCUCGGUUACCUAGUUUAUAGUCUUAAUAACUGUGUCAUGAAACUAUGUAUUAAGACCGGCCUAACAUUAAAAGAGUUUGAUUUCUUGAUAGGUGAGGUCUCGUUUAGAUGCGUUUUUUUAAUUUUGAUAUUGUAAACUUUUGAUUUUAUUUGACAAAUAUUAUCCAAUUAUGAAGUAACUAGGCUUAAAAGAUUCAUUUCGCGAUUUAUAGGCAAACUGUACAAUUAAUUUUUAUUUUUAUCUAUAUUUAAUGCUUUAUGCAUACACUGUAAGAUUCGAUGUGAUGAAGAAUCUUGAAAAGGUUUUAGUUGUUGGGUGAACUAAACCAGGCCUGACACGAGAGGGCAGACGGACGGAGUGGUGUGAAAAGAAAACGUGAGGCGGGGCAGUGUGAAAAGAAAAGUUGACGCCCAUUAUGCACACCAACAGAGCACACUGCAAAGCGCAGAGACAGGCAGGCAGACAGCAGGCCGCUCACCCGCUUCACCGGCGCCGCCCUGCCUCCACCUCGUCGCCGGAGUCUCCAGACUCGGCCGCGCAUCCUCGGCCGCAACACGAUCACGUCGUUCGGCAUCUCCAUCCCGCCCUCCUCCUCUGCUCCAACUAAUCCUCCGUGUUUUGCUUUACUAGUUUCGUCUCCUUCGUCCACGAUCGCGCGCUACUGCGGCCUGCGGUUGCGGGCGAUCCCAACACCCCUCCCGGCGCAGCGGCGCUCGAGCUCAAUCGACCCCCCCCCCCCCCCCCCCCGCAUUCUGUUGCGGGUCCGCGCUGCUUGUUGCUCCUGUAGAUAGUAGAUUCGCUUGGCCGUUUGCUGUUUUCGGAACUGCUUCGUUAGUUCGUCUCCUUUUUGUGUUGCGGUUUGCGAAGUGUGUGUGUGUGUGUGGGGGGGGGUGGGGGGGGGGGUGGGGGGGUGGGGGGUGGUUCCGCAGUGUGGGUUUUGUGGGAGACGUUGCUCCUCCUUUUGCGGCUAGAUCGAUUUUUCAGGUGUGUAGUGCACUUUGGCCGUGAUUGUCCCACCACGCAUCCUCCGUUCCGGCAGCCUGGUCCCAGUUACGGCUGCUUUUUUUUUUUAAGCAUGGCACAGCCGUAGGUGGAGCAGGAGAAGCUUGGAUCCCUGUGCUCUUGUGUUUAUUCUGGCUCAGCUAUAAUCUGAUCCUAGUGUGUGUAAGCCGCAAUGAGGACCAUCAUGGAUUCAUGGGUGGGUCUGGCUACCUGGGACUCUGCGUUCCUUAUGUGGGGAACAACCUUGUCUUGUCUCGCGGGUUACAUGUGGGGCUAACUGGUAAUACAAUAAUUUGUUGGCUGUUUCUGGAUUAGGGUACCCAAUUGGUCCAAAUCUGACGCUUAAUUUUUGGCCAUUUGUACACAUUAGGGGAUUUGAUGCGAACUGCCACUCCCUGAUCUUAAAAUCGGUGCUGGCCUUUAGUUAAGACAUAAUGUUUACUUUUAUGCAGUUAUUGCUACAGAACUCCCUGCUUUGGGAGUUCCAUUGAUUCUGUACACAACCUUUUGGUAUUGUGUGCAGUACACAACUUAUGUGUUUUAGAUAUGUUGAUUGGUAGAUGUGUCAUGUAUUGUGUGUUUGUGUACUUUUGCAGUGUCAGUAAUUGUAAAUUUUAACAUUCAGUCACAAAGUGUAUCAUGCUGUGUAAUUUCUUAUGGGGAAUUUGCGUUUUUAAAAAAAAUCUUAUGGGUAAUAAUGGGGCAGAACCUUGUUGAAUCAUGCUAGUGUUUGCUGAAUCUUGUGUUGUUUAUUUAUGAUGCAGAUACAAUACUAGUGUGCCAUGAGGACUUUUCAACAAAACCCUGAGGAUAGGAGAGUAAAUACUUCCAAGCCUUGGACUUCAAAAAAGAAGUUUUGUGAGCUGCCUGACUCUGUUGAAGUGCAUAUAAUUGAUGAUGACAGUAAUGACAGCAGCAAGGAUUACUCAGUGGAAGAUGCAUCAAAGCAGCUUGCCAUUUACAAUCCUGAUAUCACACAUGACAAGCAAACUGACAUGGAUCACUAUGCUUCACCGCACCAGAGUUCUAAGAAGCCAAGACGUGGAUAUGGCACAGUUUUACCUUCUAUUGGUACUUAUACUGUACAGUGUGCCAAAUGCUACAAAUGGAGGAUCGUUCCAACCAAAGAAAAAUAUCAAGAGCUACGAGGGAGUAUUUCUCAGGAGCUUUUUGUAUGCGCAAGGGCUCGUGAGUGGAACCGCGAAUUAUCAUGUGUUGAACUAGAAGAUAUUUCACAAGAUGGAAGUAGGAUGUGGGCGAUUGAUAGGCCAAACAUUGUCCAACCCCCUCCUGGCUGGGACAGGGAGGUCAGACUCAGGGGAGCUUCCACCAAGUUUGCAGAUGUGUAUGUCACACUUCUCUACUUUAUUUAGCUUGAAUGGAAGUAACACUUGUGGUUUGCCAUCAUCAAACUGUUUUCCAUGUUUUCCUUUCACUAUGUAUUAAGUAAAAAUCAUGGAACCGUAUUUUAAACUUUGUACCUGUAUCUUGAUCACCUGCUUGGCUUAGCAAAACUUGUCCUAUAUGGUACACCUAUGAAACUUUUUAAUAGUUUCUACUUAACACUUAAGCCUAAGGAAUGUUAGCCUCUUAUAAUAUGUACGAGUGAACACAAAAAAAAACAAAAAAAAGGCAUUAUAAUAUUAUCAGUUAUUCAGUUGGCAGAGAUGUUCAUUGACAUCUAGUAUUUAUCAAUUAGUAACUAAUACAUGCUUGUAGGACGUGCAGGACACCUUUUCGAACAUAUCACAUGCAAGAUACUUGAUUUUAACAUAUAUAACAUGUAUUAUGAUUAUCUUCAGGUAUUACACUUCUCCAUCUGGGAAAAAGUUGAGGUCAUUGGUUGAAAUUGGGAGGUGUGUUCAUCCAUUGAUACUUUCUUCUAACUAGUAGAUUACUUAUGUCAUCGACUCACCUAGUUGGUAUUAGGGAUGCAAACGGACUACCCAGCAAACCCGCAUACUAUAGGCUUAAUUUUGUGGGUUGCUCACGAUAACCAACAAAAUUAAGCUUAUAUAGGUGGGUUCACGUGCUGGUAUAGUACAACAAAGCAGAACAACGACAUGUUCUGAAAUUUCCCCAUGAUGUAAUGCAUCAUUAUCUUGAUAUAUCCAGGUACUUGGAACAGAACCCACACUACAUCAGAGAAGGGGUUAACUUAUCCCAGUUUUCAUUUGCCACUCCCAAACCUCUGCAAGAAGACUAUGUUCAGAAGCAUACAUUUGGAGAUGGUCAUGAGUUACUAGGGCUUCAUGAGAUAUCUCAAGGUGCGUUAAUUUGGCCCAAGAUUUCCUUUUCUAUAGUUCCCUACAUUCGUUUGAUAUAGAGCAUGCCACAAAUCAGGAUAUAAUGGUAGGAGUUCUAAAUGAUCAAAUACUUUUUUUAUAAUUGACCAAAAACUGCAAUUGCCACAAAGCCCAUAGUGUUCCCUAAAACUCUGGCAAGCAAAAACUGUAGUAUUUCAUAGGUAAUUCAUGUAAGACAUUGGUAAUUCAAUGCCACUGGGGGGAGCCAGAACUCAGCCAUGCCCCAGGCUGGAUCUCUCAAUCUCUUCAAUUGUGUUUUCUCAGUAGGACAUUAAUUGUCUUUUGAGUCUAGGCUGAGGCCCGAAUCUCUAUUGGCACUGGGCCUCGAUUGUUAAGUGCUAUAGUUCAUUUACAUAAAUGCUGAAUUCAGCACUGGCAACAUUCCUAGAGGUAUACCCUUCAUUGUAAAAUCUCUGCAUAUUAGGAGGAGCCCUUUGCAAUUAAACCUGGCAAUAGCUCCCAAUGAUAUCUUGAUAAGUUCACAUUACAGUUUUGUUGAGGACAGCUGACCUUAGUAGUACCUUGUUUAAUGGAUUAUAAGCAUCAUCGUGGAGUGCAGUCAAAUAAGUGGUCAAAAGUCAUGACACUAUUUGAAUUAUGAUAUGUAUUGUGGUUUCCAUUUCCUAUUUGCUCUUCCUAACAUCUAAUGUUUCAUUUAAUAUUGUUUAUUUGAUGUAUAUCUUUUCGUUUACUAGUUAAUAACUUUGCUAUUUCCUGUCAAACCUAGCUGUUCUUGGGGUAUCUGUGUGAAUUUUGCUGAUAUGAUAUGACUGUGUAUGUACUGCUGUUACUUGUGCAGUCGAUCCUCUGUGUUGGGCAGGACCUCCUUCUCGCAGAGAACUGCUCGGUGAACUUGGCAUUUCAGCUUUGGGUCGUGUUGACACUGACCAGCCCGAGAUGUCAGAUAGUGUCAGUCUUCACCAGCUCAAGGUGUCUGAACCACCAGCUCAGCACUGCAAGAGAACUGUGAAGCAAGUAUCAUCGAGGAAGUGUCGAAGGACUCCUCCAGCAGCGAGGUAUCCAUUCGAAGAACAAUCUGGUGGCCACACGAACGACAUCGAGCAUGUGCAGCUGUGAACUCCAGACACAGUAGCCUCCUUAGUGUAGUUCUGCUCUUGUUUCAGUAUCAUUUUCCUGCAUCUGUUCCGAAAGGGGGCAUUAACCAAAGGACUCCAGGAUUUGGGUGAUCAGAUGCGCUAAGCAUCGAUUUUGUAAUGUAGAUAUGUUAGGGCCAUGACAUAUUCCAAAUUGGUCCACCAAAUAGGCAGCUGGCAUUAGAGACGUUGGAGAAUGUUUGGUGUAUGUAUUCCCAUGCAAAACCGAUCAUGCAGUGCACUAGUGCUACUGAUACUACUAAGUACAGUAACUUAGCCGUGUGUGUUGUGGGUCUACUUUUGGCUUGGUCUCAUUUUACUGACUUGUGUGCUUAUGGGGCAUUAACUUGACGAUCAAAGUCUAGGAUGCGGUUGAUGCGCUAGCGCUAGGCAUUGAAUUACUGUAAGGUAGGUGUAUGAAGGCCAUGGCAUAUAGAUAUAGGCCGUACUGUCCAGUGUCCACCAUAGUAUGCUACUGGUACGAGAGAUGUUGGUGCUACUGGAACCUGGAUUGCUGGAGCAGACUGUGACCUUAUCUCCCUAAGCUUCUGGAUGUUUUGAUUUCUGUUGGUAAGAUGUCUUUCCUGGAACCUGGAUGCAACAUUGCGUUCAAAAGAAAAAAAAAACUAUAGUUGUGUUGCCCUCUUGCAAAAAAAGGGUGUGUUGCUAACCUCGAUACUCCCACUUUCACACAUCAUAUAUGUAGACUAAUAAAAAAAUAAAUUACAUAGCUCGUCUAAAAACUGCUGCGAGAUAAAUUUAUCGUCAUUAGCACAUGUUGGUUACUAUAAUAAUUAUGGUUAAUCAUGGUUUAAUUAGACUUAAAAGAUUCGUCUCGCAAUUUACAACUACAUACCUCGAAAGAUUCGAGAAAAUAAAUAAAAAGUUAAUAAUUAAAAGUUAUUAAUGAUUUAUAUUCAUAUAAUUUUCACAUUUGCAAUACAAUAAUUUUCACAUUUGCAAUACAAUAAUUUUCAUAUAAAUUGGCGAUUACAUGUAAGUCACAUGUUCCAUACAAUAAUUUGUUUUUUUUCUUUAUCAACUAGCAUGAAAUAGUGUGGGAAACAUUUGUGUGCUUAGAUUUCAAGUGCCUGCUUGAUACGUAACAUAUGGGAUUAUUUGGAUGUGGUUGCAAACACACUUGGCUGCACCCAGUGGCACACUUCUGUAACGAGUGAUGCUGGGAUGACCAUCUCGACGGUCCCAUCAUCUAAGUCAUAAGCAUACACAUUUGUAAUAGACUUCAACCCCACAUCAUCAUGCCCAGAUGUACCAGUGAAGCAGGCGGUGCUGCCCAUCGCCACUCCAUCACCUGUGGUCUGUUCGCAGGAAUCCAUCGGGACACUCACACUCCACUGUUUUGGACCACUAAAGGUAUAGACUCUCCUCCUGCCUGCAUCCUUCACACGGAAGGAUUGGCCCUUGCAAAGAAACCAGCUGGUGUCAUCCAAUUCUCGGUCAUCCAGCUGCGACCACUCCAUCGCUUCGAUAUCCAGCCUAAAGAAUUCGAAAGCAUUCUCCAUUGUUCCAGGGCGUGAUACGAGCACAACUUCCCCAUGGGACGCGACAAGGAAAUGGUGAUCCUCUUGGCUCCAUUUCGGACAAGGCGCCAUUCUCCCCCAGGUCAUUUCAGUGAUGUUGAAGAUGAGGAUCUGCCCACUGAUGUCCACACAGAUGACCUGUGCCCCGAGCAAAGCUAAAUCGGCGAUCCAAUUGCGUUCAAGUAGUCUGCGCAUUCUUCUUGACAUGGGAGGUUCAACACCAUGCUUGUAGGCACUCCAGUACGUGUCUCCAGGGCAGGCAGUGUGCACAGUCGGAACAAUGCUCCAGAUCUCGAAACGUGCAACGACUAGAGGUAUUCCGUGAGAACCAACAUAGAAAACAAAGAACCCUUGGUACCCUUGUUCGCGACAGGGGAAUACUGGCAGGUUAAGCUGUUUGCCAGAGCUUGGGUGAACAAGGAACGCACUCUGCUCUUGGAAGUGGCAUGGUUUGUGUCUGAUCAUGAGAAGCCACCCGCGAUUCUCAAAUGCACAAGUAGCAUCUGGAAAUACGUAGCUGCUUACUCCUCGGAUCUUUCUACUUGAAACAUCGAACAGCAGCCGCUUCUUGCUGUUGCGUUCCACAGCAAACAUGGCCAAGGGAAGCUUCAUCCCUUCAGAGCAAUCGCUCUUGUUCCCAGCAUACGCCUCCAUGGCUAAACCUGACUCGCAGAUAUCUAGCAGAAGCAAAGAGAGGUCAUUAGCAACCAGCAAAUAAUUUCUACUAGAAUAUAAAUUGGUGACUCCAUUCCAUACACAAAACACCUAUGGCUUUGGAGACUCAUCAUCACGCACCGGCGGAGCCAAGACCCGGCCACCCUGGGCAGCUGGCCGGGCUCCCACGGGAACAGCAGAGGCGGGAGGGGAGAGGGAGGUGCGUACGCAGGGUCGUGCGCGGAGGACGCAGGCGAGGGCGCGAGGCGACUGGCGACAGAAGGUGGGGGGAGCCGCCGACGCCGCCGCUGAGCCUGGGACUGCCCCUCCGUCGCUGGACGCCGCCGAGGGGGAGCCGCCGACGCGCGGAAGAUCGGAUCCUUGGGACCGAGCCUGAGCGCGAGUGGCCAGAAGAUCUGCGCUGAGUAGGGAUGAAAACGAUAGCACAGGGACGGAUAUCAUUGAUAUAUAUUUGUUUUUAUAUUUUUUAUUAGAUUCGAAUUCAAAUACGUAUAAUGUUAAUAAUAAUAUUGAAUAAGAUAUAAUUAGAUGUCAAUAUUAUAAAUAUACAAUUUAAGUAUUCAGAUACGGAUAGGUAUCGGAUAUUGAAUAUUCGGAUUCGAAUACGGACAAAUCCGAACCCCUCUAAACAAAUUCGGUCUCGAAUACGGUAGAAAAAUAUCUGUACCAUUUUCAUACCUAGCACUGAGGGACCGAGCAUGAGCAGCGCUGCGAGGGAGAUGAGGGUCGGUGCUGCGCUAGGAGCCGGCGGUGCAUGGGUUUGAUGGGUCACUAAAUAAAAGCCCAUACAAUUUUUUUCUCUUUUCUUUUUCAUUUGUUUGAGCAACUUCUAUUUUUUUCUAACAUCUUUUGACAAAUUAGCACAUAUAUAAUUAAUAUAUAUAUAUUUAAAAAACAUAUAUGUUAGGGAUCAUAAUAAUGUUCCUAGGGCCCAAUCGCAUAAUAUUGUGACAUAAUGAUUUCUCUAAAAAUAUUUUUUAAAAUAUAAACCCUAUUAGGAGAAAUUAUGAAAAUUUUCCCUCACACAUUUCCUAUAUAUAAAGGAAAGAGGGGAGAUAUACAAAAACUUAUGUAUUCAUUUGCUCUUUCUCGAUUGCUCUCCACUCUCUUCUUUAUUUAUUCAAUUUAAGAUCAAAAUUGUAAUGUCUACUGCAUCACAAAACUCUUAAGGGAUUAGGAACGUUUGAGCAUGCUUAAACUUAAUCAGCGAGUCACUGCUCUCUUAGCACUUAACCCCUCUUAUAAUCUUUCAUCAUGUUUUUCUUAUUAGUAUUACUAUAACAUUACGCCUAGACUUUAUAAAACUUUUAGCUCCACCACUAGUUAUACGAAAUUUGGCACGGAUAGAUUCUGAUAGGAAAGGAAAUAGCAAGACAUUUGUUACUUGCUAGAUAACUAUUUAUGAUAUAUAAUAUAUGCAAGUUCUACACUAUAACUCUACUACCUGGUAGGGGCGGGCUCAGCAAAUGCGCGUACGCAAGUACAGUGCACCCAAUAAUUUUGGCAAACAAAAAAAAAUCGAAGUUGGUAUAGGCAUAAUAUAAUGUAUAUAUAUAUGUAUAGGUUUAAUUAGCUCAGAUCCGAGUACAAAUAGCAAAAUAGCUCUAUUUAGGGUUUGGGUUCUCUGUUUCGCACAAGAGAAGGAAGGGAGGAGACUGCGUGUGGAUACCUGGCGCGUGCUCAUCGCCGGCGAAGACCGAGGUGCCUGGCGACUGGCGUAGGACGGCGGCGCCGGAUACAACGCAGGCGGGGUUAACGGGACAAGACAAGAGAAGGCAGGACGAACACAUAUAUCUUGACGAAAGCGACCAAAUCCAACUCUGUCUAGUUUCCGAUUUCUUUGUUUUUGGGCCAAGGCCCAUGUGGUGAGGAGCCGUGAGUUGAAAAACAACAACAAAAAACUACUUUUUCUCACCAACUUUCACAAAAGUUCCCUUUUCCUCACUUAACUCCAAAACCGAGCAAAUCACAUCCUUAACUUUUUAAACCGUGCAUUUUACCUCCUAGAGCGGUUUCGAAGGCGGUUUUGCUAUAAUAAUGGUGGUUUUGUUUUUUUUCUUUUAAUUAUUUGGACUGAAUAUAGUAAAUCAUAGAUAAAUCAUAAAAAUCAUAAAGUAGAAAAUUCAUUUUUUUGGACUUUAUAUAAGUAGAUCUACAUGAUAAACAUAUAAUAUGGUAGGCUUUAGUACAAAGUUUUUGUUGUAAAGGUUUUGUCUGUUCUUUUAUUUUUUUGGUUGAAUAUUUGAAAAAUCAUAGUAAAUCAUAGAAAAAUCGUAAAAUAGAAAAUAUAAUUUUGUUAGACUCCACAUGAGUAUAUAUAAACAAUGAACAUAUAAUAUGAGUAUGCUUUAGUCUGACAAAAUAAUUAUAGAAGUUGCAACUAUGAAUUAUUUCAAUUAAUAACACAAAAGCAUAGAUCUCAAAUUACAACAAAAACAUUGUACUAAAGCAUAUCAUAUUAUAUAUUUAUUGUGUAUAUAUGCUCAUUUGGAGUCUAAAAAAAUAGAUUUUCAAUUUUUAUGAUUUUUAUGUAAUUUACUAUGAUUUUUCAAAGAUUUAGCCAAAUAAAUAACAAGAAAAAAGACAAAACCUUUAUAUCAAAAACUUUGUACUAAAGUAUACCAUAUUAUAUAUUCAUGAUAUAGAUCUACUUAUGUGGAGUCCAAAGUAUUGGAUUUUCUAUUUUGUGAUUUACUAUAAUUUUUCAAAGGUUCAGCCAAAAUAAUUUAAAAAGCAAAGGACAAAACCACAAGAACCACCAUUUGCUGUAGUAAAACCGCCUUCGAAACCGCUCCAUAAAAAUAAAAUAAAUAGUUUAAAAAGUUGAUGGAGAUAAUUUUUCCGGUUUUGAAGUUGAGGAAGAAAAAAGACUUUUGUAAAAGUUGAGGGAGAAAAAGUAAACUUUUUCUUAAAAAAAAAAAACCAGGGCGAGGUAGACGGACGCCUCUGGUUUCCUUCUUCUUCGUUUAUGGGCCAAGGCCCAUGUGGUUUUAGUCCGUGAAUAGUGGCUGACUGGCAUUGAUACGAAGCCCAGAAGAAACGAUUGCGUCGCCGCCAUCCAUGGACCGACCAUGGUCCAUCCGCCUUCCCCUCCCUUGCCGCAAGCCCCCGGCCUCGCAAGGCGAUAGGAAAGGAGGAGGGGGUUUCAAGCGCGCAAGGGUUUGCGUGCGAAGUGGGCAGGGGCAGCGGCAGCUUCGGUUCCGCCGUUCCGGAGAUGGGGUCCGGCAUGAGCAGCGCCCGGCGGCGCGGCUCCGGCCUCGAGGCGUCAAGGGGGAUGCUGCCCCUGCUGGCGCUGCAGGUGCUCAUCGAGUACGGCCGCGCGGGCGCCUCCCGCCCGCCCGUCACGGCCGCGCUGCUCGCCGCCAACUCGCUCAUCUACCUCCGCCCCGGCGCGCUCGAUGGGGUCCUGCCCUCGCUCUCGCGCGUCUCCUUCAACCCGCAGCUCAUCGUCGAGGUUACUUUUUUUUUUUCUUUCAACAAGUGCCAACCAAUAAUAAUGAAAUUGCUCUUCUUUUUCCUUCGCUGCGAAAUUUACCCCGCAAAGUUAUACCCAAAUUCGUUUCUCAGUUCCAUUAAGGACACACAAACUGUGCUAGCACGUCAUCACCCAUACCCAUUGAUUGCCCAUGAUCUUUCAGCCACACGAAUAGCUCUGUAUUCAAUUCUAAGUCCCAAGAUUGAAUGAUUGAUUAUGGGCAUGUUUGGUUCCCUUUGCUAAAUUUUAGUUAGCUAAAAUUAUUUUAGCUACUCGGGUGACUAAUGGAACUAAACUAUUUUAGCUCUUUUUAGUCAGUGUGUUUGGAACUUUAGCUACUCAAGUGACUAAAGUUUAGCUAGCUAAAAUUUAGCAAGGGGGACCAAACAGGGCCUAUAAGUUGUAACAUAUAGCUCUGCAUUCAGUUCUAAGUCCCAAGAUUGAAUGAUUGAUUAUAAGUCACAACAUAUAGCUCUACAUUCAGUUCCUAGCUCAGUAUUCAAUUCCUAGCUCCAAGACUGAUUAUGAUGAACAUUUUUGCAGUAUGGCGACUUGGUGCGCUUCUUCCUGUCCCCGUUCUACCACUUGAGUGAAAGCCACCUCUUCUACAACAUGACAUCUCUCCUGUGGAAGGGCAUUCAGCUCGAGACAUCCAUGGGUAGCACCGAGUUUGCUUCCAUGUCUGCCGUGCUGCUUGGCCUGUCGCAGGGUAUCACGCUGCUCCUCUCCAGAGGCUUGCUCUUGCUCGGUGACGAUACCGCGUACUAUGAUCAGCAUGCUGUUGGAUUCUCUGGUAUUCUGUUUGCCAUGAAGGUUGUGCUGAACGCCUGGUCAGACGAUUUCGUGUAUCUGCAUGGGAUGAUUCUUCCCUCGAAAUAUGCUGCCUGGGCAGAGUUGAUCCUCAUCCAGGUUUUCAUUCCUGGGACAUCCUUUCUUGGCCAACUUGGUGGGAUACUUGCUGGACUGGUUUACCUUUGGCUGAAGCGUGCAUUCAAUGGACCAGAUCCGAUCACUCUCCUCAUUUCAAGCAUUGCCAAUGUCGUGACCUGGCCAGUGAGGUUUGCUCAGAAUCUUCUACGGUCUGCUCGCUCACAGGGCCGCGCUACAGGUCGGGGCAGGGUUGGACGCCGCAUAUCAGCAAGAGAUAGCCCUCGAGGUUUUUGGAGAUGCCCAACCUGCACAUAUGACAAUUCAGUUUCCACAGAUAUCUGUGAGAUGUGCAGCACUGCACGAGAGGACCAUGCUUUUUCGCGGAGACAGCAUCAUCAAGCCAGAGGUAACGCGGAACUCUCAGUUGACGAGAUACGCCGUAGGAGGCUGCAAAGAUUCGACAGAUGAUGUAAAUCAUUGUUAUCAGUAUAGACAUUAUGUGCUGCUGAACACAGUUGAAGUAUGACAGUUCCAUUCCUCUGUUUGAUGGUUUAGGCACAUUUGUCCCUUCUCAUGAUGAUGAAUGCUUUACUUUACAUAAUUGAAUUUUUUUUCAUUAUUUGAAGGAGACUGCUACUGAUAUAGCAUUAUCCUGUAGAUUGUUUCAAAACCUUGGAAGCAAGUCGUUAGUGCCUAAUUUUGUAUAAAUUAUGCCAGGGCAUGUUGAAAUCAAAGUACUUGAGCAUAUGUGUCACUUUCUGUACAGUUCAUGACAGCCAUUGAGAUUUAACCUUCAGAAUAUUUGAUUAUUGGAAAUCAGCUAUUGAUUGUCAUACUAGAAGCAUCUUCAGUUCUUCUACUAUAUAUUAGUAUUACUCAGUGGGUUCCCAGUUAUAGUUCAUCCAAACUAUAGUUCCUUUAGUUUCAUCCUAAACCAAACUUCUCCAACUUUGGCAAAGUUUAUAGAAAAAUGCAUCAGCGUGUACAACAUCGAAUUAGUUUCAUUAAGCCCUCCAUGAAACGUGUCUUCAUAGUUCAUAGUGCAUUUAUUUGAAAUUGUAGAUAUUAAUAUAUUUUUCUAAAAACUUAGUCAAAGUUAAAGUUGCUUGAAUUAGGACAAAGCUAAAGAGUAUAAUUUGGAAGAAACAAGCAGUAAAAUUUGUACUAAUCGUGGUACUGCGGGCGCUGCUAGUUUUGGUGGUGUUGAAUCUUCUUUGAGACAGGUCCUAAGGCAAUCUUGGAGGAAGAAUGUAGUGAUGAGGUAUCUAAUCUUCUUGGCAAAGCCUUACUUCCUAAUUUGGAAUUUUUUUGAGCGUGCCCACAUCGCAGAUUUCUGCACUAACUGUGAACAUGCGAAUAUUCUUUUCAUAUGGUUCAUGUGCUUGUUUCACCACUUGCCUGGUGAUUCCAUUUGGAGUCCUUUACCGUGUGUUUGGUUGGAGAGCGGGGUGAGCCGGGUCGGAGCGAACCCGUUCCCGUGGCUGUUUGGUUGGAGGAUGAGAGGGUUGGGUUGGCUCUAGAGUGGAAUAUUCCUCUCAGAUGCGGGUUGGACUCGUCCGUCAAAAUCUGGCGGACGGAGCCGCUCCAGCCGGGUUGAUGUUCACCAAAUACUAAAUUCCUUUAACCAAACACUGAACGGAGCCGCUCCGUCCCUAAUCCUUCAACCAAACACUAAAAUGGGUUGGGUCUGUCCCCAAAAUCGAAGUGCAACCAAAUACUCUUUUGGGUUGGCUCCGUCGCCAAAAACUAGGUUGAAUCUAACCCAACCCCCAACCAAACACACGGGAUAGCUCAACAUUUUUUGUAUAGAUCAAUAGAUGUUCUUAGCAAUGGAGUUUUCUUUUACCUUCUUCCUGCUGAAAUGUUGAUCCAACCACCAAAGAUGGUGAUAUUUCGUAUUAUUUCCAGCCAUCUCAUAACUCUAGCUGUGUAAGUACCAAAUCUGUGGCAGUUAUAUUGACCACAAUACGUGCAAAUCCCAGCAGUUUUCAUUGCCUAUGAUGUAUAUACUAAUUGGUCGUAUCCGCUUCUUUCCUAUACACUUUAGCACUUACCUCCUCCCCUAGUUGCAAUUUAAGUUUCUAUCUCGGUUUUUGACAGUUUACACCAAUUUGAUUCUGCUUCAUCUGGAUAAAUGUGGACUGCAAUCUCUGGCACUUUUUUUUGGUGGUGGUGGGGGUUAAACCAAGUAAAAGUCUUACAAAAAAAACACAUGAUAAUAUUGCAGCUUCUGCAGUGAACAAGAGCCAGUGCCUGUAGCAACACUCAGAAAGCACAUGUUGCUGAUAUAAAAUACAAGGGCAAAAACAGAACAACAUCCCCAUUUUUGCAAAAAGCAGACAUCCCAUAUAAGGGCAAGUGCUUCAAAUCUAGGAAUCCGAGAACAUUUCCUAUGCUCACAUGGUUCCUUAAAAAAAAACAUCAAAAUAUGCACGAAAAAAACCAACCAAACAUAUUAAUGGAUAGAUGAUGUAAAAAUGCAUGCUCAUGCAAUUUUUGGGGAUAAAUGAAAUUUUUCUGAGGAGAAAAAAAAAACAAAUCUGCAUGUGAAUAGGUCCGGGGAUCCACGUAACACACCCGAUCAAAAAUUUAAAAAUAUUUUCGUUUGUAUUUGACAAAUAUUUUCGUUUGUAUUUGAGAAAUAUUGUCUAAUCAUAGACUAAUUGGACUUAAAAAUUUCAUCUCGUAAAUUACAAACAAAUUGUAUAAUUACUUAUUUUUUAAUCUAUAUUUAAUGCUCUAUGAACGUGUCGCAAUAUAGAACUUAAAAUUUUUUGUAAAUUUUAUCAGGAACUAAACAAGACGCAAAUGGCAGCAGUGGCAAUGUGGGAGUGAGCAGUUGACCUGCGACCUUGGACCAAGUCAAACUAUACUCAGUUAUUACUCAAGAGUAGGGAUGAAAACGGUAAGGAUAUUUUCCGACCGUAUUCGAUACCGAAUUCGUUUAGAGGGGUUUAGAUCUGUCCGUAUCCGAGUCCGAAUAUUCAACAUCCGAUACCGUAUCCGUAUCCGAAUACUUAAAUCGUAUAUUUGUGAUGUCGACAUCUAAUCAUAUCUUAUCCGACGUGGUUGAUAUUAUCCGUAUUCGAAUCCGAAUUUGACCAGAAAUAUAAAAACAAAUAUGAUAUAAGUGAUAUCCGUCCGUAUCCGAUCCGUUUUCAUCCCUACUCAAGAGUCAAGUCACAGCUAAGGGAGAUCUCCCAGCUAAGGCCAGGUGGGCCCCUCCAAAAGUCACGGCACAACCGCCGCCGCGACGCCAUCAACGCCAUCCCAUUUCCAUUUGGAUCCCAAGGCACCGCUGCUUCCUCCGUUUCGUCGUCGGCCAUGGCAUCCGCCGGUGGCGCUGGCGCGGACCAUUCCCCGCCGCCGCGUAGCCUGGUCUUCGCCUUCUACCUCACGGGCCACGGCUUCGGCCACGCCACCCGCGCCAUCGAGGUUAGUCACAGUCUCUUCCGCCGGUAGCUCGUUCGUUUCCAAUGCCAGGUCUCAGCUCCGGAAAUUUUGCCUGCAUUUGUGUGGUGUGGCUCCGCGGAUCGUAAUUCGUAGGUGGUGCGGCACCUGAUCGCGGCCGGGCACGAGGUGCACGUGGCGACGGCCGUGCCGGAGUUCGUCUUCACCGCCGAGGUGCGGUCCCCGCGCCUCCGCAUCCGCAGGGCCAUCCUCGACUGCGGCGCCGUCCAGGCUGAUGCCCUCACCGUCGACCCCCUCGCUACGCUGGAGAAGGUACUACCCUCGCGGCCCAUGAUCCCUCCUCGUUCCCGACUUCUCGUGUCGUCAAUCGUCAUGGCUGCUGCCUGAUGCUCCGGUUGCGAAAUGCAGUACCGUGAGGCGGCAGUGGUGCCCCGCGAAUCCAUCCUCAGGGCCGAGGCGGAGUGGCUGAGCUCCAUCAAGGCAGACCUAGUGGUACACUCUCUACUCUCUAGUGCUGUUCGAUCAGACAUUCAGUCAGUGUAUGGAUGUAGCGGUACUGUUAGAAAGGGAGUGCUUAGGCGUCAUGUGUGGGCAAUGUCUGAACUCUCAAGUGAACUGGGCUGUGACGUGUUCUUGGGACAGGUCUCGGAUGUUGUUCCUAUUGUGUGCAGGGUGGCUUCAGAUAUGGGCGUCCCCUCUGUAUGCAUUGGGAAUUUUAGGUGUGCUUCACUAUACUGUUUGCAUUUGGGACUUUCGCUUUGAAGCUUACCUUUUGUCUGACUGUUUGCAUUUUGCAGUUGGGACUUCAUAUAUGCUGAAUACAUUAUGGAGGCUGGAUAUCAUCACCGAUCUAUUGUUUGGCAGGUAAUAUUUUUAGCUUUUACCAUGUCAGGAUCAUAAGUUUCCCUUUUAUGAAAGUACCUAAAUACUGAUCUAUAAAUCAUUUGCAAUUAUGCCCUGACUCACCACAAUCUGUCUUCCUUAGUACUGUGCAUAUUAUGGAAAUGUACACUUUUUUUUCAAUAAUCAUUUAAUGCAUCAAUAUAUCUAUAUAUACAGAUAGCAGAGGAUUACUCGCAUUGUGACAUAUUACUUCGACUACCUGGAUAUGGCCCAAGUAUGCUUAACUAUAUUUGGUUACUCUUUUGUUCUUCAAAAAUUGUGUUCCCUGUUGCUCAGCUAUCAUGAAAAUAGAGUAUUAUUUCAUUCCAUAGUGCCGGCUUUUCGCAAUGUCAUCGAUGUGCCUCUUGUGGUUAGAGGAUUUCGCAAAUCCAGAUCUGAGGUUUGUAUUCUGCUGGAGAACGAUAUUCUGUCUCGACAAAGUUAUUUGUUCCUCAUUCACAUGUGUCAAUUGUGAUCUAUUAGGUGAGGAAGGAACUUGGAAUUGAGGAGAAUGCUAAGGUGCUCAUUUUUAAUUUUGGGGGACAGGUGGGUCACUUAUCAUAUAGGUGGUUCGAUAAGCUUAGGGCAUAUGUUUCUAUUUUCUCAUGUGGUAAUGUUAUGUGUCUAUUUUUUAAGUGCUUAUGUAUCUUCUGCACCAAUAUCUGUUGAUUCUGAUUCUUUCAGUAGUCACAGCCUUUUUGCAAUGAAGUGGUGCUCGUACCUAUUAUUUAAAUCAAAAGCAAUGUCUUUUCAGUUACUUGGAAGUAUUAUGAUUAGUUAUUACCCAGAUACAACAUUUUAUAAUGAAGUCCCUGCAAUACUUGAAUAAUUAUCAUUAUACUUCCUUCAAUCCUUCUAAUGUUUAGCAGAACAGAUCAUCAUUAAGUUUUAUAUGUAGCUUCCUUCCUUCAAAAGCUUAGCGAUCCAUUCAUCUAUCCUGUAUGCUCUAAGCUUUUCUGCGAACUACACAAAACUUGUCACCAACAUAAUGAAAUAAUCAGUGUGUCAUUGUUCCCAGCCAGCAGGAUGGAAACUGAAGCAAGAGUGGCUCCCUGAUGGUUGGAUCUGUUUGGUAUGUGUGGUUUAGAGUACAAUUAUACUAUAUCCCUUGAAAAGUGACUAACUGAUGUGAUUGACUAAACUUAGCUCCCUCUUCAUGGAAGGUCUGUGGUGCUUCUGAUUCUCAAGAUGUUCCACCGAACUUCAUUAAGCUUGCAAAAGAUGCUUACACACCUGAUGUUAUGGCAGCAUCUGACUGUAUGCUUGGUACAUCAAAAUAUUAUAUGUUGCACUAAUGUUUGUCUAGCUACGAGCUUUUUGCUUUUCUUGCUAGAUGCAUAUACUAAAUCUCUUUGUUUAUAGGAAAAAUUGGAUAUGGAACUGCAAGUGAGGUUUUGGCCUGCAAGCUGCCAUUAGUGUUUGUUCGCAGAGAUUACUUUAACGAAGAGCCAUUUUUGCGAAAUUUGCUUGAGGUUGAAACAUGUCUUAUCAUCGAAUUAUGCUAGAACUCAUGUCUAUAUAGAUGUGUUACAAUGCCUUCAUGCUUUGUCCCAUCACAUUCUAUUUCAGUACUACCAAAACAGCAUUGAGAUGAUCAGGAGUGAUUUCCUUGCUGGACACUGGAAACCAUACCUACUUCGUGCUCUCACACUUCAACCAUGUUACAAUGGCCCAAUAAUUGGUGGUGAGGUAAUUUUUUCUACAUAUACCCAAUAUCCUAUUUAUGUUAUUAUGUCCGAAUUAGCUUGAAAUCAAAUUAUUUCUGUACUCAAUUGUAUUAUAACAUUUGCAUUUAUGCAAAACCAGCUGCCUUAGUUGACAUCAGGAUAAAAAUGUAAUACUGGACUUCCAUCAUAAUACUGAGCUUUGCAAACCAAAUUAUCUGUAUCCUAUGGAAGUUAUAUUAUUUGUGGAUAGGCUAAUACUUUGUCCAUUCAGGUGGUUGCCCAGAUCCUCCAGGACACUGCUGUUGGAAAGAAAUGUGUUUCUGAUAAAGUGAGUGAUUCUGCAUGACCACUGAGUGGUCAGUGUAUUUCCGUACCUACCACUUCCACCUAUGAAACUUUGUUUGCAUCCUGAAGCUUUAUAGAUUUUGUGACUGAUGAAAAAGGAAAUGCUAAUGAAAGAUCUUUAUCUUCUUUUAGAAACGACCUCUUUGAAAAUUUCUUAUGCUUUGUGCCAAGUAAAAUCAGCAUAUAUUAAACAUGGAACGCCCAUAAAAAAUUAGAGAUGGAAGCAAUAUUUUAAAACCCUGCUUAAGACUGUAACAUGAGCCAACUUGGAUAUCUUUAAUUAUAGUCUAGUGGUGCAAGAAGAUUGCAAGAUGCCAUGGUCUCAGGAUAUGUGCUUCAAAGGGCUCCUGGGAGAGAUGCAGGCAUUCCUGACUGGUACUCUCUGUCUAAAACUGAAACUGAAACUGGUGCUGGUCCGACCUCAAAAAAUGUUGCUACAAAGGAAAGUGCAGCAUCGUGAGUACCUUCUUUUGUUUUUGUGAGACAUCCAGUUUUGCAGUGAAAUAUUUUGCAACUGAAAUUGCAUAUUUGAUUUCACCAGAUCCAGAUGUAUUGAAGACUUUGAGAUACUCCAUGGGGACCUUCAAGGAUUAACAGAUACGAUAGAAUUUUUGAAGAGCUUAUCUGAACUUAGUGGAAAUGAUUUGAAGAGCUCCAAGAAGCAACGCCUAGAGAGAACUGCAGCAUCUGUUCUUUUUGACUGGGAGGUACUGAUCUGGCAGUCCUCUGUAUUCAUUUUAGUGAACUGUAGGACCAUGUGCAGCAGCAUUAAAGCUUCAUGCAUAUCAUAUAUUCAUAUCUGGAAAUGGAAUGUAGGAUAGCUAGAUUCCAUAAAGUUGCAAUGAUGUACAGCAAGAUGAUUUCUUAAUAUGUGCAAGCAGACCAACUUUCUUAUGCUGUAAAGUUUCAUUUCCAACUGCUAAUCAUUUAUCCUACGAUACUUUUUGGGUAUGAAUAUUGAAUAAACGUAUUAUAGCUCAUUUUGUUAUUUCACAGGAGAGAUGAAUUUUAUGAUUCACGAGACAAUCAGCCAUGUUAGGCUUGAACUUUAUAACAUAAAACACAACAUAGUGGAGUUCUAAUAAGAGAGGAUGAAUUACAUAGAUCCUCAUGUUUCAACUUGUAUCGCAAAUUCUAUGUAUAAAAUUCAGAACCAUUUUGUUUUCAAUGAACAUGUUUCCUUCACCAAUCUCUCUUUUGCUUGAUUCAGCUCUUUUUUCUUGUAUUUUCCAUGUAUACAUGUAACUUCAUUUCUGAUAACUGAUUACUUUGAUUUGUUUCAUUAGCUUGUUGCUAUGUACUUGAAUAACUGAAGUAAGUCACUCGAAAAUAGUGAAUGAAUGAUUGGUUUGCUAUAAUGACUUCCCAUUUUGUUCCUUUGUAGACGGAAAUAUAUGUAGCAAGGGCACCUGGACGUUUGGACGUCAUGGGUGGCAUUGCUGAUUAUUCAGGAAGUCUCGUUUUGCAGGUAUGAUCAAUCACAGGUCAAAUAGAUUUCUUUUACAAAAUAGUGCUAUAAGUUUAGCUAAUAGCUGGGUACUCUACUCAUAAAUAUUUGAUUCUAUGUUAUUCCCAUCUUUCGCAAAAUCAGUUUGUUACUGUUCAAUAUGAUGAUGUAGCAUGAACGAACCUCGAUUUUCAUUGAAUCUUGAUGUCUAUUGUAUUUCUGUAUUCUUGAUUUCUUUUUUGGAAUUCUCUUUGAUGCCACAGAAAAAUAAAUAAAUUAACUACUGGAAAGAAACAUAGAUGCAGUUUUUUUGGAUCAUGUAUUUGGCAGUUGUGGUUGAUAUUUUGGAUGUAUUUACUAGAUGCCCCUUCGGGAAGCCUGCCAUGUUGCUGUUCAGAGAAGCCAUCCCAGCAAGCAGAAGCUUUGGGAACAUACAAAAGCAAGACAGCUUGAGAACGCAGGCUUGGUGCCUGUGGUACAAAUUGUAUGUUCAACUUGUUCAAAUAAUUCAUGCUUUCUAAUCUGUUCUAAAAAAUUUGCCACCUCCAUUGGACGGGGCAUGUAGGUGCUCCAUAUUAGAUGCAUGAUAAUAGUGCUUUUGUUGGCUAAUUGAAACUUUAGUAUAGUCACAUUUUUGCCAAGUAGUUGUUCUUUUGAUCUGGCUGUUUUGCAUAGCAUUUGUAUGGACUCCCAUGACUUGUCAAUGCUUAUUAUCUAUUGUGAACAUGAUUGUCGCACAGGUGUCAUUUGGUUCUGAUUUGAGUAACCGUGCACCAACUUUCAAUAUGGACCUGACAGAUUUUAUGGAUGGUGGAAAACCAAUAUCCUAUGAGAAAGCCAGAGAGCUUUUCUGUCAGGAUCCAUCCCAAAAGUAAGAAAAUAAAUUUUAGUAUUUCACUACAAAAUUUCAACUACUCAAUUAUAUUUACAUAUUUGUGAUCUCAACUAUCCUAUCUCAGAUGGGCUGCCUAUGUUGCUGGAACAAUUCUAGUUUUGAUGACUGAACUUGGUGCCCAGUUCACUGACAGCAUUAGCAUUCUGGUAAUCACUCAAGUUUUCAUUAUCCUGCAAUUGCGUAUGUCAAAACCUGUAAUGACUUGAUCAGUUCUUUGUCUUCUUUAUGCUCUAAAACUCCAGGUUUCAUCUGCUGUGCCAGAAGGAAAAGGUGUUUCAUCUUCUGCAUCAGUGGAGGUUUCUACAAUGUCUGCUAUUGCCGCAGCCUAUGGUAUAGAGUGACAUUGAUUAUUUAGCCUAUCCUGAACCCUGAGACAUGUCAUCUCUGAAUAGCAUCGUUGAUGGUUUUCUUUUGUCUAUAGGUUUAAACAUCAUACCAAGGGAUCUUGCUUUGCUUUGUCAGAAGGUAUGGUGUUUAACUGAAAUCUGGUGAUAGAAUACAGAUCUACAGGUCUUUUAUGGCUCUAAUGUUUUUUCAGGUUGAGAAUCAUGUAGUUGGAGCUCCUUGUGGGGUAAUGGAUCAAAUGGCAUCUGCAUGUGGAGAAGCUAAUAAACUCCUCGCAAUGGUUUGCCAGGUUAGUGUUGUUUAUUAGUUCCAUAGUACAGAAGCUGAUAGAUCCUACCUUUCCUCCAGUCAAAAAAUAAUGUUGCUUCAGUAUUUAUUUAAUCAAUUCUCCUGCAGCCUGCAGAAGUCAAGGAAUUGGUUGGCAUACCAACUCAUAUACGUUUCUGGGGUCUAGAUUCAGGGAUACGGCAUAGGUAGGAAGCUUUUCCUAACUGAGCUUGUGUUGUGGAGAUUGUAGACAUUACUUGUCUUAUUGGAAAAAUUGGAGCUAAUUGCAGAACUAAUCUCUCUUUAACUGUUAGUGUUGGCGGGGGAGAUUAUGGAUCUGUAAGGGUAGGCACUUACAUGGGACGAAAGAUGAUCAAGUGUGCAGCAUCAGAUUUAGUUUCAGAGUCCUUGACUUCAGGCCCCCCUGUUCAGUCUGAUUGUUAUAAAGAAAAUGGUAUGGGGGUACUGAAAUCUGAAGCUGCACUGGAGUAUUUGUGCAACCUACCACCUCACAGGUCACAUUUAGUGAAUUCAACAUUUAUAUUUAUGGUUCUGGUAUUGCAUGGAUCGUAAUAAAUCCCAAUUGCAGAUAUGAAGCUGUUUACGCAAAAGACAUUCCAGAGGUGAUUAGUGGAGAAGCAUUUUCAGAGAAAUAUGGAGAUCACGACGACACAGUGACAGUUAUUGAUCCUAAAAGAUCUUACAGUGUGAAGGCUCCUACUAGACAUCCCAUAUAUGAAAACUUCCGUGUUGAGGUUAAAUCUCUCGACCAGAUUAUUUGUUUGUACACUACCAAAUCUAUUUUCUGGAUCUGAAAAGCAUAUAUGGUGGGAACUAUAUCAAAGUUUUGUUCUUUCCUGAAACGUGCUGCAAUGACAGUGUUGUAUGGUACGCUCUUAGUGCCAUCCAAACUGACAGAAGAUUGUAACCCCCCCCCCCCCCACCCCAAAGAAACUAAACUCUGCAACUAAUGGUCAUUCAUUUUAUUCCACUUUAUUGAAGACUAUUUUAUUGUUUUCUCUCUUGACAUUAUUUAAAUUUCCGGUCUGUAGGCCUUCAAAACAUUAUUAGCGGCAGGUAAUACAGAUGAGCAGCUGUCAGCCCUUGGAGAACUUAUGUACCAGGUGAAUUAAUUUGAGUCUCUACUCAUCACGAUGUACCUUUCUCUACUCCUAUUGCACAACUGAGGUUCAUUAUGUAAACAUUAAGUUGAGGAAAUUGUGCUUUGCUGGUAAUAUUCUUCUCUUUGUACUGCUACUGCAUACCUUUGACAUGUUCCUCUUCAUUCACAUAUUUCUGGCAGUGCCACAACAGCUACAGCGCGUGUGGCCUUGGUUCUGAUGGGACUGACAGACUAGUCAAUCUGGUACGAGAAAUGCAACACAUGAAGACAUCCGAAGGCGGGAGCCCCAGUCUAUUUGGCGCAAAGAUCACCGGCGGAGGCUCCGGCGGCACAGUAUGUGUCAUUGGGAAGAACUGCGCCAGGAGCAGUGAAGAGAUUGCAGAGGUAGCUUCAGGGACUACCCUUUUUCAUUUGGUGUUUGAGUUUUUGUCACGGUAGAAUGACAGAGGCUGAUAUUUGCUUGCACCUUCAGAUUCAGCGCAGAUACAAGGCUGAGACCGGGUAUCUGCCCAUUCUUUUCGAUGGAUCGUCUCCAGGAGCUGGGAAAUUUGGUUACCUGAAGAUCCGACGUCGUUGUCCCUAGUGGUUGAUUGGCAAAUGAAGAAUUUGGGCUCUGUUAUUGUUUUAGAGACGACAUAUACUACAAAAUUGUUAAGAGCUUCAGUCCAAGCCAUUGGUAGAACUUAAAGGUGCAUGCCAGUUGAGACGGUUUGUGGAUGUAUAAGGCCUUGUUUAGUUCCCAAAAAAUUUUGCAAAAUUUUUCAGAUUCUCCGUCACAUCGAAUCUUUAGAUACAUGCAUGAAGUAUUAAAUAUAGACAAAAAUAAAAAUUAAUUACACAGUUUAGUCGAAAUGGACGAGACGAAUCUUUUGAGCCUAGUUAGUCCAUGAUUGGAUAAUAUUUGUCAAAUACAAACGAAAAUGCUACAGUGUCGAUUUUGCAAAAUAUUUUGGAACUAAACAAGGCCUAAGAUCAUUUUUUUCACACGGAAGAUUUAUCAGGUGCUGCUACUGGAGAAAAAGUGAGGAAUAAGAAACUCUUGAGCAGAUGUAGCCGUCCCAUGACUCUAGUCUCUAGUGGUCUCCUCAUGCUUGCUGCAGUGUAACCAAACUCUAGGUAGAUGUGCUCUGGGCUGUGAUGAGAAGUUGAGGAUGGUUUCUUGCCCAUUUGUGGCUGUGCCUGUCGACUGUCCUUGGUUAACUUGUCAGUUCGGAGCGGAUAAAGUUUCGUGUGUGUUGUCAGGGUAUGAUACUACCUGAGAGGUUGAUGCUGCACAGGGCUGGAGAGCAGGGUAAGUUGUGCGAUUGUUUCUUUUACCUCAACAAAUUGAGGGGUUUUUUUUUUUAAAUCUUUUGAGAACUCAACACAUUGAGUUGAGUGCCGACAGUAUCACGUACUCAGUAGAACAGUGGGCCUCCUUGUCGUGCAUGGGCUGAUGGACCUGAAAACUCCGACGACGUUCGUGUCGCGAGGCCCUGUCGGAGCGAACGAGGCUCGUUUCGAUCUGUCUUCCACGAAUGAGUGCACCACUGCCGAGGCAGCCCUUAUCGUGUAGAACUAGACAUCUUGCCCCUUAAAAGUCUCUGCCGUUGAAGGUACGGAGUACUCCACGUCUCUAUCGUGGUUUGAGAGAGUUUUAAAGAUGAUUUUGCCCUUUUCUAUAGUUAAUUAAAAGAAUAUGAUGUUACUAAGAGUAUAAUACAAGAUGAACUAGAGAUAAGAGUCAUAAUUAGUUUAUUGUUCAGUACAUGACCCAAACUUAUAGAAGUUAGAAUAACAUGUGUCUAGUUUUAAUGCAGAGUGCCAGAGUCGAUAUCAGUUUGAUUGAGCUUUGUUUGGAUGUACUUAAAAUUCCAAAAGUUGAUUCCAUAUCACAUUGAAUCUUGCGGCAUAUACAUGGAGCAUUAAACAAAGAUAAAAAAUAUUAACUGCAUAAUUUAUCUGUAAAUCGAGAGACAAAUCUUUUAAACUUAAUUAAUCUAUAAUUAAAUAAUGUUUGUCAAAUACAAAUGAAAAAAAUAGAUAUAAACAAGGUAGUGACUAGUGAGAUGGCUGGCCGGCUGGGUCCUGGCCAUGCAUAUAUACAUGCGGUGCAUGCAUUGGCAGCUAGCGCGCGCUGAACUUCCUCUCUUUGCUGGCAAAGUGGUCGUGUGGUUGGGGUUGGGCCGUCCAUCCAUAUGUCGCCUGGCGGCUGGCGCCGGACUAUUGCAUGCAUGCACAUUGCGCGCGAAAGCGAGAGCGAGAUGGGCUAUAGUGUAGUGUCAUGUGUACUUUACUACCCCUAAGUCCUAACUAGCUAGUGUCACCUCGCUCAGCACUGUCCGGCACUCGCACUCCCCGGCCUGCUCCCAUCCGUCAUGGUCAUGGCCACGGAGGAUGCAUGCAUAUAUAUAUAUACUACUAAUAGUCAUGCAUGCAUUUGAGAUGCUCCAGGCCUCCAGUAGUGCACCAAGCUCGCUUGUCCGUGCAUGCAUGUGUGGAUGCAUGAGUCAUCGAUCGGCAACCCACCUUCACCUUGGACGACCACUCAAGACACCACACAUACAUGCACUAUCCGGCCGGUGGUGCCCGUACGUAGAACGUAUCUCCACGCUUUAUUUCAUGCCCGCGAAAAAACGGACACGAUGACAACGACAUGCUCCCUACAGUACGUUGGUGUCAACUUCGUUCUGCUUGGGGGCGUGCAACCCGACCGUGUUCCUCGAAAGGUUAUUCGGCCUGCACGAAUCGAUCGCCCAAAAGACCUGAAACUUUUUAGAUCUAGACACUAUAGCAUUUUUGUUUGUAUUUAGUAAUUAUUAUCUAAUUAGACUAAUAAGUAGACUCAAAAGAUUAUUUUUUUAUUUAUAUUUAAUGUUCUAUAAAUAUGUCACAAAAUAGGAAUAGUAACACUUUCAUUUGUAUUUGAUAAAUAUUGUCUAAUUAUGAACUAACUAUGUUCAAAAGAUUCGUCUCAUAAAUUAUAAGUAAACUGUGUAAUUAGUUAUUUUUAUUUAUCUAUAUUAGUGCUUCAUGCAUGUGCCGUAACAUUCGAUGUGAUGGAAAAUAUAAAAAAUUUUGCAAAAUACUAAAUAAGGCCUGAAGCAAGUUCAUGGUUUCCAUUCGUCACUCGGGCAGGCACAGCACAGAGACGAGUAGGCGCAUUGCGUUGGGUGCGGCGGGAGCUGGAGCACGUAGCAGCUAGCCGUGUCGUGUCCAGUCCAGGUUGCAUGGAAUGGAACCUGGUGUGCCUGGGGCUGUUUGGUUGCCCGCAUGAGACCAUACAUGCAUCUCGAGAUGCAGUGUGAUCCUGUUUGGUUGCCUGUAUAUAUGUUUGGACCAGGCUCUGGAAAUGCAAAAAGGAGCCCUCAGCCAGGCUGAGGAGGAACGCCCAAAUCGGCCGUUCCUGGCCAGCCAGGCUGGGCAGAUGCAACCGUUUACGUGGCUAAUGGUGUAUUAGUGCGUGAUUAGUAAAUAUUAAGUGAUAUUAGUGUACUUUAAAGUUGAUUAAGAUAUAAUUAGAUAAAAUAAGACCUAUAAGAGUGUAUUCGUACAAAAAUAAAAAUUAUAAUCAUAAUCUUAUAAUAUUUUUAUCUCAUACAACUUACCUUCAUACAUGCAACCAAACAACAUCUAAUCAGAGUCUGGCUCCAUAUAUACAUGCAACCAAACUAGACAUCCAGCAUGUAUCCAACCAGACCAAAGGCAGUCUGGCUCUCUAGAGCUGGCCUCGUUUGGGAUGAGAAGGGAACCAAACAGGCUGCUCCUGGUGGCUAGGGGAUGCCGCCCGAAUGCCCGAAGAAGAAGCGGAAGCCACAGGGUGGACGCGGACCGGAGAUGCCCAUGCCAUGCGGUUGGGUUGUCCCAGCUGCAGCCGGUACGGUCAGGUCGACUGGCCGGUGCAGGUGGCUUUUUUGGACUCUUGCGCCGUCACGCACGCUCUCAUCCGUCGCAUCUCCUCCGCCGGAACCCUCUGUCAUGUCACGUUGCCACGCCGACGUCAUAUAUUCGGCGUGGCCCCGAUUCGACGUGGCGCUUCUACUCCUAUUGACGUCAUAUAUCCCCGCGGCCGUCGUGAUGUCCAAAUUUUCGAACAAGCAAGGUCUUGUUUAGUUUACGAAUUUUUUUUUUUGAGUUUAGCUACUGCUGCAAUUCCAUUUGUAUUAUUAUUUGACCUAUUUUUCUGGAUUCAGUGAACCAAACAACAAGCAGUUGCAUAUGUUGAGCUGACUGUAUGCGAUGCGAGCUUGCAUUGGCUUUGCCAGACAGGAAACUAAACACGCUAUAAUUUACUAAGCUUAAUAGAAAAAGUCUAACUUAAGACAACUCAAGAUAUUGAUUUAUUAGGGACGGGAAGAGUACAGUAUUUCCAGCACGCUAAGGCUUAAUUAUCUAACAUAUUAAAAAGUAACAAAACCACAUAAUCUACUCUCUAUAGUAAUAUAGUACUGUAUACAAAAUCAUUAGGACCGCUUAAAAAAGGGUAAAUUUGAGCACCUAAUAAAAUGGGUCAGAAACUCAGUUGUCACUCAACUGUUCCCUUUGAGUCUGGCUUGAUGAGGAUAUAUAUAAAUUAGGGUCUUAUUUAGUUCACUUGUGAAAUUUUUUCGGACUACUAUAACAUUUUCGUUUGUAUGUGACAAUUAUUGUUUAACUAUGAACUAAUCAGGCUCAAAAAAAUUAUCUCGCAAAUUACAAGCAAACUGUGUAAUUGAUUAUUUUUUCUUCUCUUAAUACUUUAUGUAUGUGUCGCAAAAUUCAAUGUGACGAAGAAUCUUAAAAAGUUAAGUUUUUAAUCUUUAGGAAAAAUAUCAGGCCUAAAAUUUCAAGUGCGAUACCCUGGCCAGCAAAAAGCUAGGAUCUCGGGGGCAGGUCCGGAAUCUAAGCCUUUUUUUGCGCAGUUUGUACCUGUACUGUGUACUGUAUUCUUUUUAUAUAUACAAAUUCACUUGCUUUUGGGACGCUAAUCCAUGAUGGGAAUGAGAGUAUUUUUUAUUCUAAAAGCGGCCGAAAUGGGCGUGGCCAUGCGUCAUAACGACUCCACGCCUGCACUGCAUAUGCUGCGGCCAAUGGAAUAGUAAUAUUAUGGAACCGGAACCAAAAAGACGUCAGAAUAGUAUUAUGGAUUCGGCGCCGCGCCGUAAAGCCUGAUUCCCAGUAAUCUAAUUAGUGGUAGGUAAUGUAGGAGUAUACUACUAGCGUUAGUGAGUGUGAGGAGCCCACACCGCAGCGUUCUUAGAAACUUCUUCUUGAUAUACUCGUCUAAGAUUUGCUAAAAGCUUCAAAUAUAUCGUCUUGUUUGUUUGAUUGAUAUGCCAUUGCAAAAAGUUUUGUUUUCUGUUUUUUUAAGAAAAACACUUUUGAAUGGUUGCUAAAUUCGGUUCACCUCCUACAUUUUUCGAAAGAGGGCUAGAUGUCCGCGAGAUUGAUUACAAAGAGAAGACAACAUAGGACUACACCAACAUUGUCUUAGGUUAGUUUUUUCUAACUCUAACUAGGUUUAUAGAAAAUAUACUUACAUUCACGACAUCAAAAUAAAAAACAUCAUUAAUCACUUAGUUAUAAAUCGUUUUUAAUACGUAUCUCGACAAAGUUAGGUAUGUAGAAAAAAGCAAAACGGCUUACAAUCUUAAAUAACACUAGAGGGAUUACUUCAUGAUCGGUUUAACAAAUUAACUUGUUAUUAUAAAUACUGUUGCGGCUCUCUUGUGUGUAGGUUUCAUUAAAGUUGAAGAAAUUUUACUCAGAACGAAAUUUAAACUACCUAGUUAAUUUAGGAAUCGAGGGAGUAUUAGCUAACUACAAUAUUGAAUUGAAACCGAAUCCGAUGGGCGGCUGGUAUUCCUGAACCAAGAAGGUAAUGUAGAACACGAUUAUGAGGUGAGGUCGUUCGGUUGAGUUGUUUAUAUGCAAGAAUGUUCUCUGUCUGCAACUGCAAUGUAAGUUGUCCUGCUUACAUUCUGCUAAUCACAUAUAAAUACAGAGUAUAAUAUACUCACAACUGCUAGACGACGGGGCAACUAAUUGGCGGCGGCAUGCAUAUGCACAGCACAGGACCGGAACAAAAGUCAGCCGAGUGCACAUGCAUGGCUGAUUGGCCCAUCCUGCGUCUGGCUAGAGAGCUUGUGCAGGCACGCCGACUGAUUUUCCAUGGAUGCAUGGCUCAUAAUUCUGUUGGGUGGCACAUGACAGCUUCACAUGCAUGCAGUCUGCAUGUUCUGGAGAAUCACUCAUCACCACCCAUCGUUUGGUGGCCGCCCAUGCAUGCAUUAUCGGUACGGUCGGCACAUAAGUACAGUACAACACCAUAUAUACAUACGUAUUUCAUACAUACAUGUACGGAGUAAGUAGUAUAUAUAUAUAUAUAGUAUACUGUAGUAUGUAUGAUACUACAGGGCUACAAGUUGCAUACACACAGACAAACACACUAACGCUAUUAUUGAAUUCUUCGAUGAGUAUCUGAUAGGCAUCUGUUGUCGUUUGCAACGUUUGGUGGUCGCAUUAUUAUGCUAUAUGGAUCUCAACUGUACUCCCUUGUUCCAAAUUAUAUUGCCCGCUCCGUCUAAAAAAAAUGGUGUUUUAAGAUUUCUAUAAUACAUUUGCAGAACAUAAAUUACUCAUGUACCCUUAUUUAUAUAUUUAAUGAAGGUGAAUCGUGCUAAUUUCUCCCUAUGUUCAGUUUUAUAAGCAGGCCCGUGUUGAAAUCACACUGUUUCCUAAAUUAUAGCUUUACCAUUUUUUAGCUAUAUUGUUUUAUGUUUAUAAACUUGUGGUUCGUAGACAGUACAAUUGCUUAUAAUAGUUAAAAAUUCUAAGUCAAAUUAUUAGUCAAAGUUUAAAGUGUGAAACGUGAAUUACGUAUGCGCAUAUAAAAGGCGACAAGGUAAUACUAUGUAAUAAGCCCCUUAUUAAAAGGAAUGCAUGGAAGCAUAUGGGACCAUCUCAAAAAUAAUAUGGGUCCAAUUUAUUAUCAAGAGUUAGAACAUUAAUAUUUUUGGACAUUUUUGAAUCAAGUAUAUAUUAGUCACACUAUUUUUUCUAAAAAAAUAAAAAAACAACAUAGAAAAUUGCAACAAGGACAUGCCUUGAGUAGUUAAAGAUCCUUUUUACAUAGAAAUUUCAUUGGAUUCCAUAUAGACAUUGUAGGAAUCGGUUUCAUACACGGGGGAAAAUGUUUGUACGUUAACCUAAGGGUUGUCUCGCUUUCGUGAUACCGUACUCCGUUUCCUUCGUUCCUCUUAAAAAGGAAUAUAAUUUAAUUUUUUCAAAGAAUCAAACAACGUUAUGUUUUGAUCAAAUCUACGUAUUUUGCAUUUAAACCUGGUUGAAAACAUAGAUAUUAAUAAUAUUAUAUUUUAUACACUUACUUAAUACUAUAGAAUCAAAUUUUAUAUACUAUUUGUUAACGAAAAUUGCGUCGAAACCUUUGGCCUUGUUUAGUUCCAAAUUUUUUUGCAAAAUCGACACUGUAGCACUUUCGUUUGUAUUUAACAAAUAUUGUCUAAUUAUGGACUAACUAGGCUUAAAAGAUUCGUCUCGUCAAUUCCGACCAAACUAUGCAAUUAGUUUUUAUUUUUAUCUAUAUUUAAUACUCCAUGCAUGCAUCUAAAGAUUCGAUGUGACGGGGAAUCUGAAAAAUUUUGCAAAAUUUUUUGGGAACUAACUACUUGUUUACUUUUAAAAAAUUUUGCAAAAUAUGAAUAGUAGCACUUCCGUUUGUAUUUGACAAAUAUUGUCCAAUUAUGGACUAACUAGGCUCAAAAGAUCCGUCUCUUCAAUUUCGACCAAACUAUGCAAUUAGUUUUUAUUUUCAUCUAUAUUUAAUACUCCAUGCAUACGUCUAAAGAUUCGAUGUGACGAAGAAUCUGAAAACUUUUGCAAAAUUUUUGAGUAGCCCUGUUUAGUUCUCCACCUAAAAAUUUUUCAUCCAUCUCAUCGAAUCUUUGGACACAUGCAUGGAACAUUAAAUGUAUAUAAAAAAUAAACUAAUUACACAAUUUAGUUGAGAAUCGCGAGACGAAUCUUUUAAGCCUAGUUACUCCAUGAUUAGCCUUAAGUGCUACAGUAACCCACAUAUGCUAAUGACAGAUUAAUUAUGCUUAAUAAAUUUGUCUUGCAGUUUCCUGACGAACUAUGUAAUUUGUUUUUUUAUUAGUUUCUAAAAACCCCUCCCGACAUUCUUCCGACACAUCCGAUGUGACACCUAAAAAAUUUUCGUUCCCAAAACAGGCCCUAAACUAAACAAGGCCUAACAAAACUACUGUGAUAGAUUCGCUGGGGUACCGUACGGGGCACGGCCAGUGCAGCGAAAGAACUGCGAGCAUGCGUGCUGGGUCGACUGCUGGGCAGGAGCAUCGUCGCAUACGCAUACGCUUCGAGGCCUGCCCUCGCUGCAAGGCCAGCAGCGCCGGUGAGAUUCCUGUACAGGGCCAAACGUUCAAAGUUUGGCAGGGUGCGCAGGGCAGUGGCUGAAAAAAGACUAUUCGUCACUCCCGACAGCAGGCCUCGUAACCCGGGUCCCGCGUGGUCAAACCCCAGCUGAGGGCCCCACCGGGGGGAACACGAAAAGACACCACCACCACCAGGCGGGCCCACGCCCCGUGCAGUGCUCCGCGAAACACGCCACGCCAGAGUAAAAAAAAAAAAAAAAUGGCGCACGGAGGGAACCAUCCAUGGUGGUCACGCUCACCCAGGGAAGCAUGGAAGGCCGGACGGGAUGCCGGCGAGCGUGGAUCGGACGGCGAGGAGCAACCACGUCCGCGUCUGGGGGUGCUGCCGGUGGGCCCGGCGUCCUUAGGUAGGAGUAGGCACCAGCCACGUCAGCGGAGGUGGAACUGUCAAGUUUAGUUUUGAAAAUUUUUUAUUUGUUUUAACUAAUAAUAUAGUCAUUUCGUUUUUACUUGUUAAUUAUUGUCUAAUUAUAUAUUAACUAGAUUAAGACAAUAAUCUUUUUUUAUUUAUAUUUAGUGCUUAAUGUAUGUGAUAUAAGGCCUCGAUGUGAAAAAGAAUCAUAACAAAUUUUUAGUUUUUUUUUUUGGAUAUAAACAACCUCUCGAUACGGAAAAAGGAGGAGCACGUCCCGACGUCCGUGCUUCCGGAGUUGGAGGAAUGUGUUCCCGUCCAGAGUGCCGUCCACCGGGGACCUGUUUUGUUUGGGUUUCAAAACAAAGAUCGACCCCACUCCAGUCCUGAAUGAAUAAUUGUCAAUAAUUCCUAACACGUUAUAGUAAAACAAAAAAGAAAUUAAUUUGACGGAUCUCGGUGUGAUUCGUUGGGGCUUGAUUAAUUGUGAAAAGUUUUAAGAUUUUGAUAUCGUAGCACUUUCGUUUUUAUUUGAUAAUUAUUAUCUAACUAUAAACUAACUAGGCUUAAAAACUCGUUUCGUAAAUUACAGAUAAACUGAGUAAUUAUUUUUUGUUUUCAUUUAUAUUUAGUGUUUUACGUAUGCGCCAUAAGAUUUGAUUUGAUGUGAUGAGGGAUCUUGAAAAGUUUUUGAAUUUUAGAGUGAACUAAACAAGAGCUUGGUCAAUCAAGCAUCUUUCCAUAGGAAGUGUACGACUCCUAGACAGACCGGAGUGAGGCCUUGUUUAGUUUCCAAAAAUUUUGCAAAAUUUUUCAGAUUUUCGUCACAUCGAAUCUUUAGACGUAUGCAUGAAGUAUUAAAUAUAGAUAAAAAUAAAAACUAAUUGCACAGUUUGGUCGGAAUUGACGAGACGAAUCUUUUGAGCCUAGUUAGUCUAUGAUUGGACAAUAUUUGUCAAAUACAAACGAAAUUGCUACAGUGCUCAUUUUACCAAAAAAAAUUUUGGAACUAAACAAGGCCUGAAAAUGCCGUGAGCACAGCGCACCGCACCCAUAAAGCAAAGCGAAGCCGCCAGAAGAAAAGCGAGCGAGCAUAUCGUGCUCGUGCAUUGCCAAUGCCAAACGAGCAAAACGAGUUCCCCGUGAGUCUCUGUCUCUCUCUCUCUCUUGGCCGACGCCGAGGGCUCCCGCUCCCGCUCCCACCAACGCGCAGGAAAAAACGGCCGGCCACGGCGGUUUCCCGUGCCGUCUACGCCAUGCUGCCACGGCACUCGCCCCGGUGGUCGGCCCUGGAGGUUGGGACCUGACCCUGGCCCGCGCUGGGUCCUGGGAGGAGGUGGCCGGGAGCGGGAGCGGGAGCGGGAGCGUUCGCACGCACGCGACGCGACGCGACGACGCACGCCGGGGUCAGCACGACAGAAUCAUCGCCGGGAAUCGGGGAGAGACGGAACGGAACCGACCCCUCUCGUUCUCCUCUCCGCCCGUACCGAGGUCGCCACGUGCCACGCUGCUGACGGGAUGCUUUGCGGCCAAGGCUAAUGGUUUAGCCGGCUGCCGGCUGAGAAAAGUUGUUAUAUCACUUACGCCAGUUUUAUGGUGUCCAAGACCUGCCAUGUCAUAUGAUAUAAAAUAAAAUUUCAAUAAAACAUUCAUUUUUAAUGGAAAGUUUCAUUUCAUAGUUUCAUAAGCAUUUAAUUCCAAGACUCAUAGAGAGUUUGUAAUCGUGCCAAGAGAGUUUCAUCUAGAUGAAACUCAUUUCUUCUCUCUCUUCUAAAUACACUGCCAUGUCAUCAAAACAGCCUAUGUGGCAACCUAUUUAAUACAAUUGAAACUCACAUGAAACUACCAUUGAGACUGGCCUUACAUCAACGUGUACAGUGAGAGUACUCACAAUGUAGACUCAUAGAGUCUAAAGUUAUUUAAAGUCAAGGAAGUUUGAGUCAAUCUAACUCAGAAUGACAUCUCUUUUUAAUCAAAAGUAGUAGUAUACUAGAUUUACCUGAAAAAAAUUGGAAUGAAUUCUAAGAGGUCAAAAAGGAGUUUCCUCGUACCACGAUUACUACAAAAUUAUGCCACAGCAGUAAUAAUUUGUUAAAUUUCCUUUUCUACAACCAGUUCACUCAAGUUCAUGUCGGACACAUAGCAUCAGUUUUUUUCGGCCUUGUUUAGUUCUGAAAAAAUUUCGGAUUUCACUACUGUAGCACUUUCGUUUUUAUUUGAUAAAUAUUGUCUAAUCAUGAACUAACUAGGAUCAAAAGAUUCGUUUCGUGAUUUACAGACAAACUGUGUAAUUAGUUUUUGUUUUCGUCUGUAUUUAAUGCUUCGUGCAUAUGCCGCAAAAUUCGAUGUGACAGAGAAUCUUGAAAACUUUUUGGAUUUUGGGGUGAACUAAACAAGACCUUAGUUCCUUGGCGAAAUGUUUUCACACUGUAGCACUUUCGUUUGUUUGUGGUAAUUAUUGUCCAAUCAUGGACUAACUAGGCUCAAAAGAUUCAUCUCGUAAAUUUCGACCAAACUGUGCAAUUAGUUUUUAUUUUUAUUUAUAUUUAAUACUCCAUGCAUGCGUCUAAAGAUUCGAUGUGACGGAGAAUCUUAAAAAGUUUUUUGAUUUUGGGUGGAAGUAAACAAGGACUUCAUAUGUUUUUCUCGAAUUUUUAGAAAUAGAAAACAACACUACACUUCCCGUGGUAGACGACCUAUCCGCUACUCCGGUUAAAGAGAUGGAGUGUCUCCGUCGUGGUUGGGUUUGUAGAAAGGAGAUUGUGCGUGUAUAGGAGCAAGUACGGAGUAGGAGUACAUCGUAGCGUGUUUCUCCCUUCCGCGCGGCAAACUACGUGGUCAAAUCAAAUUAAACAACCUGAUUAGGCAGCAGACAGGCCCUUUAACCCAACAACCUGAUGACACUUUAUUAUUAUCCUGCGGCUGCCUAGGGAUGCUGUGUGAUUAUUUGCCCUAGGCUGCAUAGCUAGGAAAGCUCAACCAGGGCAAUCAUGCUCCUAAUAAUAAUGCACUGCUACUCCUCCCAUGGCAGCUGCAAGAUGCCAUUUUUUGUUUAACCAAGUGGGUGGUUAGUUUAAAGAUGAGCGCACAUGGGUAGUGUUCACCUUGAUGCAUGCAAAUGCAACGCAGGAGCUAGGUAGCGUCAAUGAUGGAGCUGGUGAGGUGAGGUGAGGCCACAAGCAAUAAUACAAUACAACAUGUACAUGCUCAGCAUUGCUUAUCUGGACCAUCCAAAUGUGCUCUGAGAUUCAUGCUGCUGCACUUCUCUCAACUGUGUUCACACUUCUCUCCACUAUUUCACACAUCUCGAUGCAUAUUCAACGGUGUAGAUAAGCAAUGCCCAGCAUAUAGACUUCAAAAAACUGCGUUCGGCCACAAGGGAUUAGUUGGCCUGUGUAGUGUUACAGAUGCAUGCCCGGGUUUCCAACUUUGCUUUGGUCAAGGCCUUGUUAAUUCUCAAAAAACCAAAAACUUUUUUAAGAUUUUUCAUUAAAUCGAAUCUUUAGACGCAUACAUAGAGCAUUAAAUAGAGAAGAAAAUAAAAACAGUUUGCCUAUAAAUUAUGACACAAAUCUUUUAAAUCUAGUUAAUCUAUAAUUGAAAAAUAUUUAUCAAAUACAAAUGAAAAUACUAUAAUAUACCAAAAUUUUUUUCAGCACCAACUAAACAAGGCCUUGCUUGCUCUCCCCAAUUAUCGAGGCCCACGCCCUUUGUGUUGUGUUGCGUGUGCCUUGCCCCACCCCAUCCCUCCCAUUUGGCCAUUCCCAGCAUACUCUAUUUUUGGGGUUCUAAAUUUGUAGGCAUUGUAGUAGCAGCAGUAGUAGCAAAGUUGAAAAUUGAGCAUAGGUUUGGUGUACUAGUAUAGUACGAGGCCUUGUUUAGUUCCCAGAAUUUUUUGCAAAACUUUUUAUAUUUUUUGUCACAUCAAAUUUUGCAUUACAUAUAUGAAACACUAAAUAUAGAUAAAAACAAUAACUAAUUACAUAGUUUGCCUGUAAUUUGCGAGAUGAAUCUUUUAAGCCUAGUUAGUCUAUGAUUGGACAACAUUUGUCAUAUACAAACGAAAGUGCUAUAGUGCCAAUUUCUCAAAAUAUUUUGAAACUAAGGCUUUGUUUAGUUUCUUUCCGAAAUUUUUUCGCGACAUUGUAGUGCUUUCGUUUGUUUGGAGUAAUUAUUGUCCAAUCAUGGACUAACAAGGCUCAAAAGAUUCGUCUCAUAAAUUUCGACCAAACUGUGCAAUUAAUUUUUAUUUUCGUUUAUAUUUAAUACUUCAUGCAUGUGUCUAAAGAUUCGAUGUGAUGGGGAUUUUGAAAAGUUCUUGAAUUUUGGGUGGAAAUAAACAAGGCCUAAACAAGCCCUAGUAUAAAGAACAAAACGCGCUAGUUUUAAAUUGUGACCAAAGUUUGCUAAAUAGACUAUUGCGAUAAGGCAAGCUGCAGAUAACACGGAGUGUGUAUCGUCUCAACUCUCAACUUGUCAAGUUUAUUACUUUAUGGAGGAAGCAAAAGUUUACUUUGUUUAGUCUUCUAGUUACUUUUUCUGUAAUACUUAUCAUCAAUAUUUUCCUUUCACAAUAACGAUACACCGUACCUUUUACUACCUAUGACUUGGAGUAUUUAGGGCAUGCAGUUUUACUUGGAGUAUUUCUUUGUGUUAUUAUUACUAGUCCUACUAAGGCCUUGUUUAGUUUCCAAAAUUACCAAAAUUUUUCAAAAUUCCUCGUCAAAUUGAAUCAUUAGAAGUAUGCAUUGAGCAUUAAAUAUAAAUAAAAAAUAACUAAUUGCACAAUUUGUCUGUAAUUUACAAUACUAGUCUUUUGAGUUUAGUUAGUCCAUGAUUGAAUAGUAAUUAUCAAAUACAAACGAAAGUGCUACAGUAGCCGAAACCUAAAAAAAAUUCACCAACUAGUUUUAAAUUUUGUUGCAAAAUAAACACUGUAGCACUUCGUUUGUAUUUGACAAAUAUUGUCCAAUCAUGGACUAACUACGUUUAAAAGAUUCGUCUCGUAAAUUACAGAUAAACUAUGCAAUUAGUUAUUUUUUAUCUAUAUUUAAUGUUUUAUGCAUGUGCCACUAAAUUUGAUGUGACGGAAAAUCUAAAAAAUUUUACAAAAAUUUUUGAGAACUAAGGGCACUCUCACUACAGAAACCAUGGUGGUUUCUAUAGACAUUAAUUGUAGUGCCACCUAAGUAUUUUGCUGAUGUGGCAAAAGAGUUAUUGAAAGGAGAGAGAAAAAUCAUAGAAACUGGGUCUGGGUCUGGGUCUAAGUUAGAAACUAUGUCUACACAGAAUACAAAACAUGAAGUGAUAUGAUUAGCUGAGAAUGAGGAGAGAAUAAAUGUAAUUGGUUAAAAAAAUAUUUUAUAAAAACUAUUCAUUGGAACUAUAGUUUUAUAUAUAGUGUUUAUAAAAAUUAAUAAUUAUAGAAAUUAUAUUUAGUAGUACUGGGAGUGCCCUAAAUAACGGCAUCACAGUCACGGCAGGCAGGUCCCCCCACGGCCCCACCUAACCAGCCAACUCAUCUGGUCCAACCAGUUGAUGAGAGAUGAAGCUUCCGCGGCAUGGUCAAUAUUAGCGGCGGUGAUUAUACUACCAGCACGGGUGAGUUUGGAGGUGCUUCUUGUUUGGCAUCGCAAGCACGUAUUUAUAUUGUUGUUUGUUUGUGCUUUUGCACCAGUAAAUAUUGUCGUUUGAGUGUGAAUCGAACGAGUAAAAAGCUCAGUUCACUUUUAACUUCACGAUUUGGAAAGUUAGGACUUGUUUAGUUUCCAAAAAGUUUUAUAAUUUUGAAAACUAAACAAAGCCUAAAAGGAAAACCUUGGGGUCAACCACCACCCCGUGAAGAUGAACCAAGUUGCAGCGCUUGCAAUUGCAAUAUUAGAGUUCGGAGGAUGGAAAAUACUGUGUGCCACACACUCAACUACCAAGCUUGAACAUGUAUGUCUAUUUUCCUUUUAGGCCUUAUUUACUUCCACCUCAAAACUCAAAAUUUUUUAAGAUUCCUCGUUACAUCAAAUCUUUAGACACAUACAUGAAGUAUUAAAUAUAAACGAAAAUAAAAACUAAUUGCACAGUUUGAUCAGAAUUUACGAGACGAAUCUUUUGAGCCUAGUUAGUCUAUGGUUGGACAAUAAUUACCACAAACAAACGAAAGUGCUAUAAUGUUACGAAAUUUUUCCCUUCAAGUAGUUCCAAAAAAUACUGAAAAAAAUCAAGAGUCUCUGUCACAUCGAAUCUUACGAUACAUGUAUGGAGCAUUAAGAAAUUGUUUGGUUUGACGCCAUCACUAGCCACACCACGCUUGUGGCCGCCACGGUAGCUGGCUGCUGUUUGGAUGGUGUAUACAUUGAGGCAGCCACGGUACAUUGUCUUUUGUCGCUUACUUCUAACACUUUGUCUUCUAGCGUGUAAUAAAUGUGUUGCGGUUGUGACAAGUAUGGCGUCCAAUUUGACCGUCAUAGGUUAUGGCCGCCACAAAUGUAGUGUGAUACGGUUUGGCAACAAUCCAAACAACCUCUAAAUAUAGACGAAAAAACUAAUUACAUAAUUUGCCUCUAAUUUGUGAGACAAAUCUUUUAAGAUUAAUUAGUUCAUAAUUAAACAAUAUUUAUUAAAUACAAACGAAAGUGCUACAAUACCUAAAACAAAAAAAUUUGCCACUGACAAGGCCUUAACGGAAAACUGCACGAUUUCUUCUAAAUUGGUCACAUUUUUGUUUCAACUUUUGGCUUUAAAAAAGAAUCCAUCUCUGAACAUAGGAGUUCGGAGGCUAGUUUUUAUUUGUUUUCACUUAUGGGUCAAAGCACCCGCUUAAAUAGAGCAAUCAGUAUUAUGUUUGCUUAUCUGGAAAAGCCGUAGCUGAAAAUACUAUUUGCAGAUUUAUUUUGAGAGAAAAACUCCGCUGGCUGUUAGAAAAGUACGGCUUAUUAGACAAGCGAACCGAGCUGUAGUAAAACUUAAUUUCGCACAUAGAUCUAGCCAUAUACUAAGAUAGCAAUAUUUUUUUCAAAUAGCCGAAUAAUUUGGGCCAGACAACGAGAUAGCUCUCUUCGCUAUGGCUCUUUUUUUUUUACAAAAACUUUAUUCAUUGAUUAACAGCAAGAAGUUGUUAUACCUCAAGUAAUGAGCACUCUUGUACAUGUUAUGGAUUAGAACAAACUUACGGAUGGAAGAGCUUGUGUCUGCCAAGAGAGAACUGGUCAUUUACGCAUAUAGUUUUAUUCUCCAAUCUGGGGGGUUGGAGUGAUCUGCUCCAUUUAAGAAAUGGACUAACUGCUGGUUAUCCGAUAAUAAGGUUGCAUCAUCUAGGUCCAAUUUUUUCAGCAUUGAACAACCAGCUAGCUAGCUUGGUGAAGCACCCCUGGUAAACCAGGAACUCAAAUGUAAUACAAUACUAGUCCCAGGAGGCUAGUAACACAUUUAUUACAUCAGAUAAGUUUCAGCGCAGUAGUCUCGAUAAGCGUGGAUAAUGAAUGCACGCUAUAAUAAUAAGACACCAAAAUACAACAUAGGUCCAAAGGACCCAGAAACAAACGAUAUCACAACCGAACAUCUGACGAGUCCCAAUGUCACAGGCUUAGUUGGGUGCAGACACGACCUUACUCGAACGCCACUUUGGGAUCGAAGUCCGGAUCUUCCUGUGUUUAAUAAAGCAAGGGUGAGUACAAAGUACUCAGCAAAUCCAACCUUACCCUAUGGAAGGGGAUAACAAUAUAUAUGCAUAUGGAUAAAUCAAGGAUGAGACUUAGUUUUAUUUGCAUAAAGCUAUCUUUUUACACAUGCAAGGUUUCAUUUCACAAGUACUGUUGUAAAAGAACUCUUUUUCCACAUAUGAUAGUAUUUCUGAAAAUGGGGGUUUGAUUACAAUUUUAAGUGUUGUUGAACCCUUGUUCCCACAACACAAUGGCAGUCAACCAUUUAUUUCCAAAAUCACACUCACUCUCAUGUUUUCACUCAUCCCAACCCAUCUAGUUGUUGAAACCAAACCAUAACCCGUCCGAGACCGCGGACACGGCUAUCCAGAUAGAUUUACACUCUGCAGAGGUUGUACACUUUUCCCACAAGUAGGAUACCAUAACUUACACCGUCGUGCAAGCACAGAUCCAUCAAAGUCAUUACCCUCCAUAGCUAAGUAAUGGCGCUCACCACGGGAACACUAAGGCCACCUCUCAUGAUACCACAAUAAUUCACAAAGCUCUUUUCAUAUAUUUCCAUAAUUUCACAUACAUCACUUAGUGUCCCGUUGCACAUCUGCCUCCAGGUGAUUGCCAUACUAACUAGAGGGAUUUAGACUAAGCCUUUCCCAUGCAAGGCGAGUGGUUGUACGAUAAAUGAGUUAGGCAAGAUGAAUCAUCAACUCAGUCCUUAAUCGAGACAAGACGGAUAUCUUCACGCUUAACCCCGCAAGGUAUAAGCCACAACACCAGAGCAUCUCCAAAAGAGAUCUCAUCCGCCCCAUCUCCAUAGUAAUCACAUCUAUAACUUGUUCAUUAACCCUUUCAUAAUACCCACAAUUUAUUUUCACCACUCACACCUUUUACUUUUAAAAUCAUUAUAUUUGAGAAAAUAUAGCGAUGAGUAUCCAGGAUGAGUAACAAGUCUUAAGCAUAUUAAAUAAUGAUAUUUCUGUCGUAGCAUAUUAUUUGUUCCUAGGUUCGAACAAGACAAUUACCGGGUAAUAUCAAUUCAAAGAUGGCUAUUCAACAGGUUUUAACUAAGCAGCGAAAAUACUUCGUAUAUAUAUCGUACAUGCAAUAUUUGAAACGGCUUCUACGGGUUGUGUUUAAAAAUAGGAUCAAUAUGCAUCAAAGGGGAUCAGUUGGACUUGCCUCCGUCGGCGUCCUCGGCAAACUCCUGCUGACAGUCCGGGUCCUCGGCGUCAAACUCGCGGUACUCGUCUCCAACGUUCUCGUUUUCCGACUCGUUCACUCCGUCAACUAAAAUACGCGACGACCGACACAGAUAACAAGCACAGAUAAAUAAUCAUAUAAAUUCAAAUGAGCUCCAAAAAUCAUGAAAUUAAUAUGGGAGGUAGAUCAUGAUUUUAGAUGAAUUUAGAAAAAAAGAAUUAUUAAAAUCAGAGUUAGCAUGUGGCAUUUGUGAAAUGACCGGAAUUUAAUCAUGCGAAAAAGGCUAACGAUGAUUAAGGAAUGGAUGCUUCACGUGGACAUUUGCUUGGCUGGUAGUGCAUGCAUGCAUGUACUAUUUGGUGAAGUUAAUGUUUAUGGCCCACGCAUGCAUGGUUAGAGAGAAAUUAGCAGGAGUCAUUAGAGCUCUUCUGUAUGUCAUGGUUCUAUUCGUGGAGUUCUUGGCAGUAAAUCGGUACAGACAAAUAUAAGGAGAAAUACAGAAAAAAAUACUACAGAAAGACAGAGAAGAGCAAGGAGAUGCUCAUGAGCUGCUCACCUCGUCUUGCGACGACAGUCGAGCUCGGCUUGUGCGUAUGGCCGUAUACGGUAUACGCGAAGUGAGAGUGAGUGAGCGAGUGAGUGAACGUGCUUCUUGGGUGUUGAGAGUGAGCACCCGAGGCUGGCUUUUUAUAGGGCAAAGCGCUCAGCUGCGUGCCAUUAAAAAUGCUACUGUAGCGCAUGGUCGGUGCCUAAUUUGCAUGCAUGAUACAUGCAAAUGGACGGUGCCUAAUCACCGUGUCCUUGCAUGCAGGUGCAUGCAAAUGGACGGUGCAUGCUCGUCCUGCAUGCAUGCAUGAGAUAUAUAUUCGUGUAGGUGCACUGCUAUGUUUUUUUGCAUGUAAGCUUGCUGGUACUCGCUAUUAUUUGUGCGCGAAAAAUAUGGAUGGAUUAGAUGGAGAUACUAUAGAGCUCAAAUUAUUUUAUAGUUUUUAAAAUAUAUUUUGAAAAUAAUUUUUAAUGCGAAUGAUUUUUUUGAAUGUGAAUUUUUGGAAUGUUACACUUGGCUCGUUAAGAAAAUGAGCUAAAACUCUAGUAGCUUGGCUUGGCUCAUUUCUUGUUUGGUUUAUUGGUUCGUGAUUUAACAUUUUUAUUAAUCGACACAUAAAUCAGUAGCUAGUAGUUAUUAUUUCCAUACAAAACAUUUUGACAAAAAGAAAAACAAAUAAGAACAACGGAUAUAUACUUCAAUCUUGUGCAAACAAAAUAACUCCAAAUCUAAUUAUUGUUGAUUUAUAUUAUUAGACUAUGAAAUGCUUGGCUCAUUUAGUUAAUGUGCGAGUCAGUACUCCAAUAGUGAGAGACACAAAAGCUUUGCGAACUAUGAGCUUUUUAUCCAGCCCCACAAAUAGUAUCUUUAUAUCUAUGCUCUGGUACCGGUAUAGAGAGUGACGAUGAUGCAAAUAGAGAGUGAUCAUGAACGUAGAAAACUAAUUGAUUUCUCAAAGCACCCACCUCUUCUAUAUUAGAUGUCCUUGGAACACUAGUCCUAGAGUGUGCGUGGUGUAACCAUCUAACAAUUUGGAUGUAACCUAUACUAUGAUGUCACUAUACGGUAUUCCCGCACCCAUUUCCUUGUUAAUUGUCACGUGUCCCCAGUUAACGUCAUUCUUUGUUUUCUGGAGUACGCCGUACAUGACCAAUUUUGCACAUGGCCGAUAGUGCCACCACGCAAUUCAUACACAUUGUAUCAUUACAAGGUCAACAUUUCAGUAGAGUCACCACCAAUUCCAUCGUAUUACCAUCCAUCGUCGUUGGCUCACCGACGUCUUGCUUACUCUGCAACUAGCAUUGGAUCGAUUCUCUCAUCUAAAGGGUAAAGUUUCUUAUGACUUCGCGUGCAGUUUGAGUACCAGAGCAUGCAUAGUCACACCAGGAGCGUGCGUCUAUGGCUUCCCGUGGAGCUGGAGCGCCAAAAACUAGCUCCACGUCCGGCCUCGCAGCACUAGGAGGCAUGAAGCCACACCAAAUACGUCUCGACCUUGAUCGUGGAGCGACCAGAGAACUAUGGUUUUUGAAAGCUUUUCUCGAUGGUUUCAAACAUCGACGGCCUUCCAUGAAAAUUUCGUGGCUUCGGAAAAGUAUGAAGAACAUUUGCCCAGAAAAUUCCAUUCAAACUGCUCCUUUCCUAUCUCAAGUGACCAAGAACGGGAGGGAGAAAAAAUAACGAACCCCACACAAAGUGUGGCCUUGUUUAGUUUUAAUUUUUUUUCAUCACGUCAAAUUUUUAAACGUGCAUAUAAACAUUAAAUAUAGAUAAAAAAGUUAAUUAUAUAGUUUAUCGAUAAUUUAUGAGACAAAUUCUUUAAACUUAAUUAGUCUAUAAUUAAACAAUACUAAUUACUAAAUACAAACGAAAGUGCUAUAAUAGUUAAAUACAAAAAAAUUAGUGAACUAAGGCCUUGUUUAGUUUCGAUUUUUUUUUGGUUUUUGGUACUAUAGUAAUUUCGUUUUUGUUUGACAAUUAUGGUUCAAUCAUGGACUAAGAGCACUUGCUAGCUGUAAGAUUUCUUGCGGCCUUCUCUCAAUCCAUCCAUACAAUAGUUAGUUAUUCACUGUAUUAAUAUAUGACCCACUUAUCUCUCUCAUAAAGUUUCUUGGUUCCUGUAUCUAAGCUGGAUGUAAGAGCACUCACAAUGCAAGACUCUAUCACAGAGUCCAAAACAAUUAAUUACAUAUUAUUUAUGGUAUUUUGCUGACGUGACAACAUAUUUAUUGAAGAAAGAGGUAGAAAAAAUAAGACUCCAAGUCUUAUUUAGACUCUAAAUCCAUAUUGUUUAAGAUAAUAAAUAAUUUUAGACGCUACGAUAAAGUCUGCAUUAUGAGUGACCUAAGGUUACAGCCUACUUCUCAUAUCUCUUCUUUCUUUUCUCCUCCACCUCAGCAUUUAGCCGGCUUACAACCUACUAUAAUACUUGCUCUAGGUAGGCUUAAAAGAUUUAUCUUACGAUUUAUAGGUAAGCUGUCUAAUUAAAUUUUUUUUAUCUAUAUUUAAUGCUUUAUGCAUAUGUCGCAAGAUUUGAUGUUACAAAGAAUCUUAAUUUUUUUUAAAUUUUUGGUUGAAAAGAAAAGAAAAACCCAGAAGGGCCCACACGGGGGAAGCAUAGAGACCAAAACGGGAGGAUAAAAAACCGGGAAGAAACAGAGGAGAGGGAGAGAAAGCGACGCAGCUGCCUGACCUGACCUCCGUGCCUCCGCCGUCUCUCCUCUCACCUCAAGAAAAACUUUUACUUCCCCGAGCCCGAGGCGGCAGAAGCAGAGGAGAGGAGCGGAAGGACCACACCGCAGCACCGCACCCAGCGCAGCACGCACAGGAAGGCACAGCUCCCCUACUACACGCAUGCCCACGCCACCCUCCCCUCCCCUUUCCCUCUUUUUCUCUCUCUAGCUAGCUAGAAGCUAGAAGCCCUGGUGUGGUGGUGGUCUAGACAAACAAGCCUUUGGUCUCCGUGCGUGUAAUCGUGUGUUGGCCUCCCUGCCUUGCCUGCUUCCCUCUGCCCGCUCUCUGCCUUCUUGUGCUCGCUUCCUCCCCCGCCUCGCCUGCUCCCCUGUCCCUCCCGUGUCGGAGGGGACACGCGCACGCGCGGCCGGCCGUGUGGGACGGACGAGCGGGCCUGCUCGGCUCCUCCGGCGCCGGCCAUGCGUGGGGCCCGCUAGCUAACCAAGCUCUCUCUCUCUCUCUCCAUCCCUCGCCGGCGAGCGAAACGAGCGUUUGGUUGUCUUGGCGGCGGUCCGGGACGCGGAGAUGAUCAAGCAGCACCAGCAGCAGCAGCAGGCGCCACCGCCUCAGCCGAUGCCGGCGAGCUCCGCCGCGCCACCGGCGCCUGCUGUCCCGGCGGCGGCAACGGCGCCCAGCGGAUGCGAAGGUAUGGAGUGACUGCUAAUGGCGGUCUGGCGGGAAUGGAAUGGAAUAGUGCCAUCUUGCCUUUCGUUCUCUGCUCCUUGCUUUCUCGAGCUAUUUUGCCUGGUGGAAUUGGAAAGCGCCUUUUUUUUCUCCCUUCUGGACUUCUGGCUGCGAUUUUUCCAAUGCAUUCUUGGGCGUGUAUUGGGGGCUUAUGUGUUUUCGGGACAUUUGCGGUGCGUCGCGAUCGUCGCCGGCCACCGGCGUGGAAAAGCGCAUGAUUAUUCUGCAUUUAUGUCCCUCCGUGUCUCAGAAACCCCGGAGCUCGGCGAGCUACGAGAGUUCUGGACUAGUAGUAGUUCUUUCUUUCUUUGUCACGCGUUGAUCCUUAAGGGGGCAUGCGCAAGCGCGAGCUGCAACGGCAGCCAUGGCGGUCUCCGUGCCUCCGGCGGAAUUAGGGGGAAAAAAGUAGCUCCUUUUUUCUUUUGUUAUUGCUAAUGAUGCCGUUGGUUCGGUUGGCCGUGUGUUUGCAGGGGAGAAGAAGGCGCCGCCGAUCAACUCGGAGCUCUGGCACGCCUGCGCGGGGCCUCUGGUGUCGCUGCCGCCGGCGGGCAGCCUCGUCGUCUACUUCCCCCAAGGCCACAGCGAGCAGGUGAACCCCUUUCUCUGAAGCGUACCCCGUGCUGUGAUUCAUCAGUCAUGGCUCCUUGGCUGCCCCACUUUUUUGCGAUAUUUUUAAGAGUUUUUUUUUGAAGCAUAUGGUCUGACUUGUUCAUGUGCCACAGCCUUUUAAAAUGCUUUCUAGUUGGCAAUUUUGCAUAUUUUAUCUAAAUGACUGGCCCUCUGGGGUCUUGACAGAUGACAGGCGAGGAUUGGUUUCUGUCGAAUUUUAAUUGCUAGUAAAAGUCUCAGGGACGUGACUUGAUUUGCUGUUCUCCAUUUGUGAGUGGUGCUGUCAAGUUGAUGGGAUCUAACGCUGUUUAUAGUGCUCAUCAUUAUUUUAGUGUAUAUAUUUUUACAACAAAAAAGUACUACAAUUCUGUAUCAUAUAUUGUACGUAUUCAUUUCUCGGAAUGUUUCAUUUAGUUUGACUUUUCAAAGCAUAUUUGUUCUGUACUUUAGCAGACCCGACUAUUUGCUUUUUGCCGUGUAAGGUUGGUUUUUUUUUUUUUUUGAAAUGAAAGAAAUAAGAUUGUUAUUACAUUCGAAAUAGGAUUCGUUGAAGUAUGGACAUGCUGCCGCAAAAAAGAGAAGAUAUGUGGUGCUUGUAAUGUUUGUUCAGUUGGUUGGUAGUAUAUUUUGCUUUUGUCUACUGCCGAUUUUUUGGCUUAUGGCCAAAGCGGUUGGGAGUAAUGGGCCUACUACCCCCACUCUUUUUAUGGGUUUCUGGUGUGCUGCACCAUUCCCUUGCUUGCUAUUUGGUGGAUGAAGGAACCAAGAACGAUGGAAUUUUAUAGGUGUUGCUUUCAGUAACCUCUGUCACAGAUUUCAGGGUUUGGCAACAAAGAAGCUUGUUUUGAGCAAGUUUAGGGGAUGGGAUGAUCACAUGUUCGGAUUUGUAAGAGAUUCAUCGUCUGAAUGCGAGUACUGGGAGGUGUCCAAUUUUGGCUUUUCCUUUCUUUUUUGCUCGAUGAAAGGAAAUGGAACCUUUUCAGUUAUGAUUGGCUGGUGGUUUCAUCGCACAUGGUGGCUAUAAUAGCUCUUUGAUGCAAUGUAUCUACUUGUGUCAUGUGCUGUCAAAUCCCAACGACUUUCCGUCACAACUUUCUCAUGUGGCUUCUACAGUAGAUAUUAGUUUUACACUGUAUAGUUCAUGGAUUUUUCAACCCGAUUUACACAGUAGAUAUUAGUUUAUUCUGUACGACUUCAGUUAGUAGCCUCUUUAUUUUAUUUUUUUGGUUUCGGUUUUGAUGGCUCACGAUACUUUGGGAAUUUAUAUCUGUAUUCUUCAUAAAAAGUUUUUUUUUUUCAUUCUGUUUUGUUUUUCUUAGGCUGCCUUUAAGUUGGAGUAUGAGAUUUAAAGUUGGCUCUUACUGUAGGUUGCAGCUUCUAUGCAAAAGGAUGUUGAUGGACAUGUUCCAAGCUACCCAAAUCUUCCGUCAAAGCUGAUUUGCCUUCUGCAUAAUGUCACUUUACAUGUAAUAUUCUGCUGUGCCCCCAAUUAAUUGUCUUCUAUUUGAUCAUUUAUUCAUUUAUACUAAAAGUAUUUGUUCUGGGGCUUUCGUAGGCGGAUCCAGAAACAGAUGAAGUGUAUGCGCAAAUGACUCUCCUGCCAGUUACUUCAGUAUGUAUCCACUGCCACUCCUGGUUUGCCAUAAGUUUUUCCUUCAUUUCGUUAUUUUAACACAAGUCUUUGUAUUAAAUUGAUUGUUAAUGGUGAUCAGUAUGGAAAGGAGGCGCUGCAACUAUCAGAACUAGCGCUGAAACAACCCAGGCCUCAAACAGAGUUCUUCUGUAAGACACUAACUGCAAGUGACACAAGCACUCAUGGAGGCUUCUCCGUUCCUCGUCGAGCAGCUGAGAAGAUAUUUCCACCCCUUGUAUGUGAAGACUUGAGUCAACAUGAUUUUGAGCAUUUUAUCCGUUAUUGCAGCUAAAUGUAUUCACAUCCUUCUGUAGGAUUUCUCCAUGCAACCACCCGCUCAAGAGAUCCAAGCAAGAGAUUUACAUGAUAAUGUAUGGACAUUCCGCCACAUAUAUCGAGGUAAAAGAUGCAGCACCAUGGAAACCUUUUUGGCUGAAAAAUUUAGUAUCAGUGGCAUAAUGGAUAUUUACAUGUAAAUUUCUGUUUUAUUGUCUUCAAUACAGUUGUGCAUUGUAUAGCUCAUGUGCACUGUUUUUUUUUUAAAUUUUCACAUGUUUUUUUCAUGGUUCUAUCUUUUUCGUGCACAUAAAAACUUUGUAGGAUGUUUGACCAUCCCCAUCUUUUGGAACGAACAGGUCAGCCAAAAAGACAUCUGCUUACCACUGGCUGGAGUCUUUUUGUGAGCGGAAAGAGAUUAUUUGCUGGUGAUUCUGUCAUUUUUGUUAGGUACAGCUGUACAUCACAGCUUCUGAAUCUAUGCCUUUGAAUUUUUCUCUAAAAAAGCUCAUGAGAGGUAGCUCCUUUUUUCUGAUCUUCAUGGUUGGACUAUUCCUCAUUCUGUGUUUUUUGUUGUAUAUGUUUUUAGGGAUGAAAGGCAGCAACUUCUACUUGGAAUCAGGCGUGCUAAUAGACAGCCAACUAACAUAUCAUCAUCUGUCCUUUCAAGUGACAGCAUGCAUAUAGGAAUUCUUGCUGCUGCAGCUCAUGCCGCUGCUAACAAUAGUCCAUUCACCAUAUUUUACAAUCCUAGGUCUGCAGUGAGUUGUGACUUAAUGUCUAAUGUUUGCUACUUCUAGUCAAUGUUAGCAGCCAUCAAAAUCUCAAAUUGAAAGCUUUUAUUUUCAGGGCCAGUCCUACAGAGUUUGUCGUACCAUUUGCUAAGUAUCAGAAGGCACUCUAUGGUAAUCAAAUAUCUUUAGGAAUGCGCUUUCGGAUGAUGUUUGAGACUGAAGAGUUAGGCACAAGAAGGUAUACUGUAUCCCACUUUACUUUUUUCCCUGCUUCGAGUGUCUUGAUUGUUGUUUUGCAUUUCUCUUUCUAACAAACAUAAUGGGUUUUGUUUGCACUUCCAUAUUAUAACUAGAAACCAAAUUAAGCUGUUUUGACAAAAAUGUCAUGUUCUGAAUAGACUUUCUUUCUCCUUUUUUUCUCAUAUUCCUAUUUGUUGUUAUUUUGCAGGUACAUGGGUACAAUAACUGGCAUAAGUGAUCUAGAUCCAGUAAGAUGGAAAAACUCACAAUGGCGCAACUUACAGGUUGGUUUUCUAGUUAAUUUCGUUGCAUCCUGGGGCACUACCCUUUUCCCCUUUUAUGUUGCUGAUAUAGAUAUUCUUUUGUGACCUAAGGAGAUUGUAUUUUUUCAAUAGGUUGGCUGGGAUGAGUCUGCAGCAGGCGAAAGGCGUAACAGGGUCUCAAUCUGGGAAAUCGAACCAGUUGCUGCUCCAUUUUUCAUAUGCCCUCCACCAUUUUUUGGUUCAAAACGUCCCAGACAAUUAGGUAUGUUUUGGUGUUUACAUUAGCAAUAGUUACACGGCAUGACUUUUUUUUCGAUAGUUUGGUAGGUCAGGGAUGCUAUUCCUCAAACUACACUAGUGAAGAUGCUUAGUAAUAUUCUUUUGAUUAUAGAUAACCAGUUAAUGAAUUCUGUAUAUAUUUUGUGAGUUUAAGUUUAAAGUAGUUUGAACCCUGAUAUAAAAGUGCUUUUUCAAUGUGUAGCAUGGAUGUAUUAAAUGAUCUCUGCUACGUACUUGCAGAUGACGAGUCCUCAGAAAUGGAGAAUCUCUUAAAGAGGGCAAUGCCAUGGCUUGGUGAGGAGAUAUGCAUAAAGGAUCCACAGACACAGAACACCGUAAUGCCUGGUCUGAGCUUGGUUCAGUGGAUGAACAUGAAUAUGCAGCAGAACUCCUCGUUUGGAAACUCGGCGAUGCAGUCCGAGUACCUACGAUCACUAAGCAACCCCAACAUGCAAAAUCUUGGCGCGGCUGAUCUCUCAAGGCAGUUAAACAUGCAGAACCAGAUUCUGCAACAGAACAGCAUUCAGUUUAGUUCUCCCAAACUUCCUCAGCAAAUGCAGCCGGUCAAUGAGUUGUCAAAGGCAUCACUUCCGCUGAAUCAGCUUGGUGUGGGCACCAAACAGCAAGAACAGACUCAAGACCCAAGCAGUCUGCAGAGGCAACAACAGUCCAUGAACCAACUACUUCCAUUGAGCCAAUCUCAAACCAAUCUUGUCCAGGCGCAGGUCCUUAUCCAAAAUCAAAUGCAGCAGCAGCAGCAACCACCAUCCAUGACUCAAAAUCUGCAGCCAGCUGCCAGCCAGUCGCUGCUCCUGCCCCAUCAGCAGCAACAGCAACAUCAACAACAAAAGUUGGUGCAUCAACAGCAGCAACUUUUACUUCAGCAACAACAAUUGCAGCAACAGCAGCAAAAUCAGCAACAGUUAAAUAAGAUGGCUGCGCAAGUGCCAAAUCUGGCACCACAUCAGCUGCAACUGUCUGAUCAGCAGCUUCAACUGCAACUGCUACAAAAAUUGCAACAGCAGCACCAGUCGUUGCUAUCACAACCAGGUGUUACUCUUGCACAAUUACCUCUAAUCCAAGAGCAGCAAAAGUUGAUUAUUGAUAUGCAGCAGCAGCUGUCAAAUUCUCAAUCACUUUCCCAGCAACAAAUAAUGACUCAACAAAGUACCAAAGUUCCAUCACAGGCAACGCCACCACCACCAACCGGGCAACAAGAGUCACAGCAGAAGCUUCCACAGAAGCAUGUUGGGUUCACUGACACAUCACAUACUGCCAUUCCUCCAACUACAUCAGUCAACGCCAUUUCAGCUGUGGGAAGUCCUUUGAUGGCAACUGGUGCCACACAUUCUGUACUUACCGAUGAAAUCCCUUCCUGCUCAACAUCACCUUCAACAGCUAAUGGUAAUCACCUUCUGCAACCAGUCCUCGGGAGAAACCAACAAUGCAGCGUGAUCAACUAUGAGAAGCUGCCUCAGUCUACUGCUCCUAUGUCAAUCCCAAGCUCCCUGGAAGCUGUCACGGCGACACCAAGAUCAAUCAAAGAAUUGCCAAAGUUGAAUUCUAAUGUCAAGCAAAGUGUAAUGGCUUCAAAGCUACCAAAUACAGGGCCUGUACCUCAAAAUUUGGCUAACAAUGCACCCCCGACGGACUAUCUGGAAACAGCUUCAUCAGCAACUUCAGUGUGGCUUUCCCAAGCAGAUGGACUUCUACAUCAUGGUUUCCCCAUGUCUAACUUCAAUCAGCAGCAGAUGUUCAAAGAUGUGGCUCCUGAGACUGAUAUUCAUGGUGCUGAUCCCAGUAAUAACACACUGUUUGGAAUAAAUGGUGAUGGUCAGCUGGGCUUUCCCAUGGGAGCGGAUGGCUUCUUAUCGAAUGGAAUUGAUGCUUCCAAGUAUCAGAAUCACAUUUCAGCAGAUAUUGAUGGUAACUACAGGAUCCCAAAGGAUGGUCAGCAGGAAAUAUCGUCAUCCAUGGUUUCACAGUCAUUUGGCGCAUCAGAUAUGGCAUUCAAUUCAAUUGACUCUGGUAUGAAUGAUGGCGGUUUCGUGAACAGAACUUCUUGGCCUCCUGCUCCUCCCCUAAAGAGGAUGAGGACAUUUACCAAGGUUGGCACUUUUCUGUUUCUUUAACCUAUAGCUUUAUCUUUCACUUUGGGUAAACAUAAUAGUAUUCAUGCUUUAACUGUUAUGAAAUGAAGCAUAUGCUGCUUUCAGUUUCAUAUAUGUUUCUUCUGCUUAACCUAUAAUUUUUUUUGUAGGUGUAUAAACGCGGAGCUGUAGGUCGGUCCAUUGACAUUAGUCAGUUCAAUGGAUAUGAUGAGUUGAAGCAUGCUCUGGCUCGCAUGUUUAGUAUGGAGGGGCAACUUGAGGAACGACAGAGAAUUGGCUGGAAACUUGUCUACAAGGAUCACGAGGAUGACAUCCUACUUCUUGGUGAUGACCCUUGGGAGUAAGUUCAGCUCUCUUGUACUUCAAUAUUAUAUUUUUAAAAUUAUUUGCUCUCGGGAGUCUCUAAGAUAGGAAUACCAACAAAAUUGGUAAUAAUGAUCAAUUUGUAAAACUGCUGGACAUGUAUGUUCUUGAAACUGGGCCUGACAAUUUUGAGAUAUGCUCAAUAAUUAUAUGAUGAGUUAUGAACAAAACAUGAACAAUCCUAAAUGUGCUCUGAUUCUGUCUUACCCCUUGUUUUGUUAUAAUGCAGGGAAUUUGUCAACUGUGUGAAGUGCAUUAGGAUCCUGUCGCCUCAAGAAGUGCAGCAGAUGAGCUUGGAUGGGGAUCUGGGGAACAACAUCCUCCCCAACCAGGCCUGCAGUAGCUCAGACGGCGGGAACGCUUGGCGGGCUCGCUGCGAUCAGAACUCUGGUAACCCUUCUACUGGUUCAUAUGACCAGUUUGAAUGACCUAACUUGCCGGUCCAUACAUGCCGGAUCACAAUUAGGCGUCUCCUGAGGGAUGGCAGGUGCAGAAUAUUUGUAGAUGUGUCGCCAGUUUUACAUCCGGGAGAGCAAAUGGCUCCUUGGAUUGCUAGUGUUUUUGUUCAUAUGUGUAGGUUUUCUCACUUGGAAGGAAUUGUAGUAUAGAGGAUGGGAAACGAAGCUUACCUUAGGUGAAAGAUGAUCUUGUACUAUGAAGGGAAAAAUACACAUGCUUGUAGUAGUAAAGACUGUUGCUUCAGUCCACGUAUCUCAAACUUCUUCUCUGACCAUGUACUAUGAGGGGAAUUGAACGCAAGAAUUUUUGUGCUGAUGUGAUGCUCACAGGAACACACAUUUUCACUUUAUUACUGCUGAGGAAGUUCAGUCGACAUGAUUUUUCUUUCCUGCUAUGACUAUUGCAGACGUAUUUGUGGGCCCCGGAUAUCAGCAGCAGCGUCGCCUUGCUAUAGUAAUAAUAUAAUAAAUAAAUAAAUAAAUAAUAAAAAGAGCGGAUAGGUCGCGGCGUGCUGUGGGGCGUCACCUGGGAGCGUCCGCAGGCUUCGUUUGGCUGAAAAACUCAAGCGACCAGGGUCUUGUUUAGUUUCGAAAAGCGAAAAGUUUUCGGUAGUGUAGCACUUUCGUUUGUUUAUGACAAAUAUUAUCUAAUCAUGGACUAACUAGGAUCAAAAGAUUCGUCUCAUGAUUUACAGAUAAACUGUGUAAUUAGUUUUUGUUUUCGUCUAUAUUUAAUGUUUCAUACAUGUGUCACAAAAUUCGAUGUGACGAGAAAUCUUGAAAACUUUUUGGUUUUCGGGGUGAACUAAACAAGGCCCAGGCUCUUAAAAUCCAGUUGCUUCUCGUACCCGGGGGCCGCCGACUCGAACCCUAGUGCUUACUGCUCAUCGUCCGGCAAUGGCGGACUCCGGCGUCAGCGAUAUCAAGGAACUGCUCGUCGACGUCCUCGAGAAGCUAACAUCGCUCGAGACCAAGCUGACGACCGUCGAUCGUGAGCUCUCCACCGUCAAGCUCGAUCAACAGCUCCUCCACGACGCCGUCAAGGCUGACAAGCAGGCUGCGUUCCCCGGAGUACUCGAGCUGCGUCUACCAAAGUACGACGGCACGGACGACCCCGACAUAUGGCUUCACCGCUGCGAGCUGUUCUUCCGCCUGCAGCGAACCGAGGAAGGCGACAAGGUGUGCCUCGCGGCCUUCCACAUGACCGGCGCGGCUCAGAUCUGGUACUACGGGCACGAGCGCAACAACGGCGUCCCUACCUGGCCGCAGUUCGCCGAGUCGGUGCGCCGCCGCUUCGCCGCCCUGAUGCGCCGCAAGAACGCGUUCCGCGAGCUCAUCCAACUGCGGCACACCGGCUCCGUCGCGGAGUACCGGGACGAGUUCCUGGGGCUGGUGGACAGAUGCGACGGCGUGACCGAGCCGAUGCGGCUCGCCUUCUUCACCUCCGGCCUCCGCGAUCCGCUGCGCGCCGACGUGGAGCUGCGGCAACCGGCAACCCUGCAAGACGCCGCGUGGAUGGCCGGUGUGCUCGAGCACCGCGAGGAACUUGGCUUUGAAAAAUGAUCAAUUUACUGAUCAGUAAACACCAAGCGAUAUAAAUUAUGAUAGCUAUCGUUUUUUUUUUAAAAAAAAAGUUAUGGUAGUUAUGCUUUCCUCGAACCGAUUAAUGCUCGUAUAAAUUAUGCUUUCCUCGAAUCUAUUUGUGCUUGUAUAAAUUAUUAUGGUUUCCUCGAACCUAUUUGUGCUUGUAUAAACAGAUGACCCAAAUCGAUCUUCUGAGGAAUUGAGAUAAUUUUCUCCCUAUUUUUUUCCUUGUUCAAUUUCAGUGUGGCCAAGGUUGCAGUUCGCUCAUGUUCUUUGUCAGAGUUGAUCAAUAAAGUUUUGGAUAUGGUAUUAGAUUGUUGAUUUGUAGUUGGUCAACACUCUGCCUAGUCUUUGCAACUACAACUUAUUUAGAAUGAAUACAGCUGAAUUAAAAAGAACCCGACAUUCCC
rnacentral:lncRNA from 1 species